rnacentral:lncRNA from 1 species
UUUGUUUUUUUUUUUCGUUCUUCAUUCUUCCAAUUAUCCUAGCUAUUACCGAAUUAUAUGCUAAGAUGUACAGUGAUGUAAUUUUUAACACAAAGAGUUUAGUUCAACUCGUUCUGAAAAAAAUAAUCCAACAUUCUGAUUAUACUAUUUUGCCACUUUAAGCAUAAAAAUUGAAUAGAUAUAAUUAAAGUGUUGAACUAAUGCAGUCAACAUUUUUAAAUGCUAGGUUCAACAUUUUAUCAAAUUUAGUUCAACAAUUCGGAUAGACUAGAUCAACAUUAUGUAUAUAAAUGUUGAAGAAGUAUGUCCAAAAUGUUGAAGUAGUUAUUCAAAAUGUUGAAACAACACAUUCCAAAUGUUGAUUUAAAUAAUACAUAUAAAAAUUAAAAAUAUACCCAUAUUGGAUCUUAUUUUGUUGCAUUAAUUCCAAAUAACACAGUAGUUCAAAACGGAUUAACGGUUUAAGAGAAAAAUGCAUUUGAACUUUGAAAUUAAAUGGGAUUCUCCUCCACCUCCUCCAUCUGUCCGCUGACACAUGUCCUCCAUGAUUCCAUUUGAUGGUGGUUGGAGCGUGCGAGAGAGGUGGACUGAGAAGAAAUUAGAUGCAUUCAAAGGACAAGAAAGCUUGCACGAAUCUCCAACACCGGGCUUCCGGAAGCUAUAUAGGAUCUGCGCCAGGGGCUCCGGAGGACUUUUUCCUGCCUGAGUGAAUAACAGUCUGUCGGCCCACCUAAGCCCAUCCAGGCCCAACAGUCCGGUAGCACCGGGACAGACAAAAAGAAGGCGACAGUAAAAACGAAGCCACGUUGCGGGCGGCGAACUCGCACGACGAGGGUUUCCAGCCGGUUGCCGUCUCCUUCCGGCGCCGCUUUCGAUCCCCUGAUCCCAUCCCAGAAAACCCCAGCGGAGCCUCUUCUGAUUUCAGGUGCGGGUUUGGAUUUUAAUUUCUUGCCCCUUGCAGUCUUUGAUGAUCUGGACGGCGACCUGCUAGAUCAAUCGCAGUUCGGUAAAUGAUUCUGCUUGUGAGUAUAUCUCGUCUGCAAUUUAUAAGUCCUUUCUUUUUGUUGUUUCAGCAAUUCCGCAUGCUAUUUGCUUGGUGCUUGAUUGGUGUCUGCUCACUGAUUUUGACUUUUGAGCCAAAUAAAUAGAGUGCUGCCUGAAUUUUUAUCUGACAGGCUAAACUUUUAACAGAUAUAGAGAAAAGGUCUCUCAAAAGUUCACCUAUACAUGUAUUCACACUUUUUUCUGAGAUUUGCCAACUGCCGUUAUGAUUAUGCUUGCACUUUCAUCACUAGAUGGAGCAUGCAUUCCACUCUCUGAUCAGUAUCCUAGUGAAAGGAACCUGAAAAAUGGAAUAUGGUCCUAUACCAAUCACUAAUAGCGAUGGAAAGUUGCUUAUUUAGUCUUCCAUCUUCAAGAUGCACAGAAUGUUAAUAGAUGUAGAAGUACCUAGUUCAAAGUAGCAUUAGGUAUAUGUGCUUCUUUAUUAGUUUAACGCUACAAACUUAUUAUCACUCUAUGCUUUAUUCUUAAUUUCUAGUUUCCUUAAUUUCAGUCUAGCAUGAGGUUGCCAAACCAACGCGGAUGUGCCAUUUCAAUGGAAGAUCUCCCAGAGGUAUCACCAAAGCGGCUUCCCACAACAAGUGAUCUUAAUUCUCUUUCCCUUGUGUCCAAGCGGCUGUAUACUGUUGAGGCAGAGCUAAGGGAUGCUAUUUAUGUUGGAUGUGGCGUUAGCCCUGUGACAGUGGCCUUGGCAUCACUGUGCUCCCGGUUCCGAAAUUUGUGCAAGGUGGGAGUUUAAUUACUCUGGUUGGAUGCCCAACCAUGGGAUGCAGUUGGGUAAUCAAGGCCUCCGUGUAUUUUCAUCUUGCUGCCCCUCGCUGACUGAUCUCACCUUAAGCUUCUGCUCAUACAUCGAUGACUCGGGUCUUGGCUUUCUGUCAUGCUUCAAGAAGUUGAUGUCCCUCAGGUUGAAAGCGUUACAAGAAAUAACUUCAGCUGGUCUUCUCUCGGUGGCUGUUGGUUGCAAGAGUCUAUCUGCUCUCCGCCUUAUGAGCUGCAAGAACGUAGGUAGUGUUGAGUGGCUGGAGUACCUUGGCAAGAUUGCAUAAUUGGAAGAACUUGUAGUAGAGAACUGUCAGAGGAUCAGUCAGUUUGACCUCCUAACAUUUGGUUCAGGAUGGAUGAAGCUCCAGAAGUUUUGGUUUCAGAAUAAGUAUUUGCCAAACACAUUUAAGUUUGAUGGCCCUUCGUCUAUGGUAGGCAGCCAGUCUAGAUAUGACUUCUGCUGUGAUUUCUUGAAGGAUUUGACUUUGGCUCGGAUCACAACGGAGCAAGAAAUAGGACUCUGUUGUCUCCUGAGAAAGUGCAAAGCAUUAGAAAAUCUUUCCCUUUAUUAUGCUCUUGGUGUACAUGACAAUGACAUUAUUACGCUAGCUCAGAACAACAGAAACCUUAGAAGCAUCUCACUUAUGCUGACACCUCAGCACUGUGAAGAUUAUGUUUACAGGACAUCAUUGACUGAUGACAGCCUAAAGGCCAUAGCCCUCUGGUGUCCAAUGCCUCAGUCUUUCGAGCUCACAUUUUUUGGAUGCAAACCCGAUUACCCUGAAAUAGGCUUCACACAGGAGGGCCUUGUGAUGCUCAUUCAGUCUUGUCCAAUUCGUGAUCUAACACUCAGUGGUGCCAACAUCUUUGAUGACGAGGGAAUGAAGGCCCUCUCAUGUGCACGAUUCCUAGAAUCGCUCAAGCUUGUCCGUUGCAUUGCGAUAACUGAUGCUGGGGUGCACCUCCUUGCACGCAGUCCCUCUUUGAUCAACCUCACGCUAGAGUUAUGUGAUGGUUUGACAUAUCAUGGAGUAGCCGAGUUUGUGCGUGCACGGAAGUUAGAGUCUCUGACUAUUGAAAAAUGUUCUCGGAUAUCUCUCAAAGCUGUACAAGGGGCUGCCAAAACUGUUCACCACACUGAUGACUGCCCAGGCUUUAAGGAGUGGGUGGAACGCUGUGUGUAAAGUGUGACCAUCUUGCUGUCUGAAUUCCCCAUAAAUUUCUCAGUUCAUAUAUGAAAUCUUCGGUUGAAACUGUGCAGUGUGCAUCGUAUUUCCCAACCUGCUUGGCCUUCAUCCUGCCAUUGCUGUGUAGUAUUGAUAAGAGUGAAAAGCACCGGCGGACCUCGAACUUGUCACGCUGUGCCAAAUAGGUACAUCAACUCUGAAAACGUAUUUUUAGUCCCCAAACUUGCUAAUCGGUUCACACGAGGUCCAAAUCUCAUUACCUAACUUAAAUCACCACUUAUCAGCUGCGGGGCUCACCUGUCAUCCUCUUUCUUUUUUUUACCUCACCUUUAUCUUCUUCUUUUUUUCUCCCUAGCACCUCUGCCCGCCUCCUCCCACUUCCUGGCCAGCGCCGCCGCCCAGCCUCCUCCCCCUUCCUGGCCGGCGCUGCCGCUCGACCUCCUCCCCCGGCUCCUGCUGAUGCUCUUCUCGGGCGGCUGGCGUAGCUCGUCACCGGCGGCCCAAGGCGAGGCAGCGCAGGAUGCCCCCACCAGCGUGAGGCCAUGGGCAUGAGUGAGCUGGGGCCUGGGAGGCGACACGGAGUGAGCCACCGGCGCGGGGAGAGGUGGAGGGCGGUCGCAGAGCAGCGGAGCAAGGUGAGGGGCGACGGCCGACGGCCUGCGUGGGCACUGAGCGGGGGCGACAUGGGCGAGCUGGGAGGCCGCUACCACUGGCGAGCCGCGGUGGCCGGAGGUUGUGGCGGGGCCAACGGGCCAUCGAGCCCCACAGCGGGUGGAGGAGGGCUGCGGCCGUCGGUCCACCGGCACUCAACCUUCGGUGGCUCAUCCGCAGAAGCUGUAGCUACAGCAUCGUCAGCCGCCGACGGUAGCGCUUCUGCUUCCGCCGCCGUGGCAUCAGGAGCGGUGGGUGGCUCCAGCACCAGCUCGCCACCGCCGCCCGACCUCCUCCCCCGCGCCGUCUACCACAUCCUCCUUCCCCGCCAUGCCGGCGUAGGAGACCGUGCCGCUCCCGCUGCCGUAGGAGACCUCCGCGCGCAUGGUGGCGUCGAGCUCGGGGGAGAGCGUCGAGGAGGAUGAGAGGGAGGAGAUAUGAAGAGAGAGAGGGGGGCUAAUUAUAGUGUAAUCAGUGUUUUAAUACAAAUUGUUAGGAUUUGGACCUAUUUGGCACGAUUAGCAAGUUUGGACAUCCAAAAAUACGUUUUCAGAGUUGAUGUACCUAUUUGGCACAGCGUGACAAGUUCGAGGGCCACCGGUGCAUUUCACUCUAUUGAUAAUUGAUGGACUAUAUUAGUGUCAGCUAUGUUUCAAUUUGCAAGCAACCGAAUUGUCCUUUAACGCUGUGCGCGUGACAUGCUUAGAGGCUUUUCUUAAUGCACAUUGUCUCUAAAAUGCUUAAACUUAACAUUGGUGAACGGAGUUUGAUUGCUUCAACGUGAGUUAUUCACAGGAAAGAACCGACAUGAUAAAUUUCUGAUAAUCUCGAUGCUCUUUGAGAAGACACACUCCCCACUUGCCAAAAUUAUGCUGGCAUGUCGGUAAAUGGAUAGAAACUUGCAUUUGCCCGGUGAAAAGAAAAAACAUUAUUGUCAAAUUAUUACUACCAAGCUUUAUUAUUGUUACAAAUGUGACAUUCGAAAGCAAACAGUAGAUACGUAAGGCCAUUCCAAUAAGGAGUUUCACAUGGUUCCAUCCCAAUUAAAUGAGGUGCUACAUAAGUUAAACUGUUGACGUAAGAUGGGAGGAGUUUUAACUUGAUGCUCACCGUUUCCAACAUGUUGGAAACUGUGUGAAACUCUCAUUGAGUGUUUGUGUUUCAUCUCACAUAUUUCAACUUUCACUUAUCACUUAGAUACAAAUUUAAAUGGGAUGCUAAUAUAUGAAACCGUGAAAUGGAACUUUGGAUUGGAGGUCUAGUUUUAUUCGCCAUUUCAACAAUUAAAAGAUGGCAGACCAGAAGUUGGGUUUCCAAAAAGAAUUGUAGCUUAAAUAUGUACCCACUCACACGGUAGGUAGGUUGUUGUUCUGUAAAGCUGCCAUUUUUGGGGGAAGUGAUGCAGUGUACAAGUAAAAUGGCAAUGAUUUAGCUGAGUUGGCAUACAGACUUAAUAAAAAGAGAAUUCGGAUUCGUAUGAGUUAUCAACAUUUUUUAACCUAUUUUAAUAUUUUAAGAGAAUAUAUUCAACAUUUAUAAAAUUUAGAUCAACAAUAUAAAAAAUUGUGCUAUCUUCUUCUCCAACGACGGUAAGGCGCCAGACGAGGCAGAAAAGGCAUGGCAGAGGCGGUGCGCGGCAGCACAGGUGGUGGGGUAGCAGAGAAGGUAGACAACGUGGUUGUAUCGCUGUCGGGAUAGAUCCCUAAUACCCGCAAAGGAAGGAAGAAGACGGACUCCUAUUAGGAUUUUUCUAUAAUUCUACUAGGACUUAUACCACGUAAUCCGUCUAUGACUCCUCCUUGUAACCGACUAGUUAUCCCGCCAAUUGGAGUAUAUAAAGGAGGGCAGGGGUACCUAGAUCAACAAAGACAACAGAUGGCAAAUCCUCAUACCUCAACACCCAAGCGCAGGGCGCAAUAUACAACACCCCAAACAUGACGUAGAGUAUUACGCUACUCUGGCGGUCCGAACCUAUCUAAAUCGCAUGUCCUCGCUUUUACCUUCAAGUUCUAGGUCCGGCGAUCCCCCACCAACAAAUCUACUACCUCGAAAUACCCCUCAGUAGGUUGCCGGGUUAAAACACCAACAUCUGGCGCACAAAAGUAGGGGUGAUCGUCAAGAUCAUCCGGCGAACUUGAAGGACCUCAUUAUCAAGAUCAAUCCGGCGCAACGUGGUUUCCGAUUCAUGGUAACCGAACAGCAGCUUCCUUUGCCGAAUCCAUGUCAAAAAUGACGAGUCGGGAUCCGAGGCAGGAAAGAAUCGCUCAAAGUGGCCACCUGCCGCUACUGGCAAUAGCAAGCAACCAGAUGCUCACAUCCGAUGCGGAAAAAUAAAAUCAUGCUGCUAUUCAAUCAGUAGAGAGAAAGAAAUCCAUUCUUAUUGCAACACGCGCAUCGAGAUGGAGUAAUGAUUACCUUUUGGGACUUGUUUUCUCCCGUGAGAAGCAAUUGGUGAAAAAUGUUACACGCACAUAAAGGACCACUAGAAGGCUCUGGGUGUUUCAUGGCAACACCGAUUUGUCGAUGACUACCUCGACUACUCGUCUUGACUACAAAACUAGUCGGGGGCGGGCCUCGCACCAUUGACAACUAGUCGGAAUCGACUCCGACUAGUCGGCUGCAUCAACAACCGUCGCGGCUUCAUCGACAACCACCACGGCUUUGUCAACAAUCAUCCAUGAAUCAUGCUAAGUCACUUUUCUAAUUAUUUUCCAGCUUGUUUUCCGCAUGCAAGGCAACACCCCAACUACGUAUUUGCGUACGUCUCUCAACGGUAAUUACCCUCCAGAGCUACACUUUGCCAACUAUUCCUAUGGCAUGUUGACCGACAACCACAGGCUUGGUAUACCAAAUUACGGAGGCUACGGCCACGGGUUUGGUACACUGAGUUGUGGAGGCACCGUUACGGGUUUGGUACAUUGAAUUUUGGAGGCAAUAGCCACAAAUUUGAUAGACUAAAUACUGGAGGCUCACAACGGCUACACCCUAAGGAGGCACAAAUCUUAUGCGCACAGCACACGCUCUAUUCGUCGGAGGGCAGCAAACUCUUGCGCACAACACGCGCUCUACUCGCCGAAAGGCAGCAAACUCUUGCGCGCAAUCGCGCAGUCUCUUUUGUCGCAAUACCUACUACUGAUUUUUAUCUUCUCUUAAGGUCAAUAAUCUUCUCGAGCAAAACACGACUUAAUUCGUGAAAGCUUCGGAUCAUCUGUCAUGUCUAAAUGCUACCACACAUACACGAGACAAAGAUCUCAGCUGUGCAAACGGCAAUGCCCGUACACGUACAAGAGACAAAGAUCUCGCCACGUAGUGGCUACGGCUAAACAGAGCCUGAGAGCCUAAACGCAACAAGCUAACUACUCAGGAGAAAUAUGGCCGAAACAAGAGCAUGACACAAAACAUUUUGUGUUGAUCAUUGGAUAAAUUUCGAUAGUUUUCAAUAUUCUACAAAUAUGCUACAUAAUGUAUGCAUCUUUUCUAUUAGGUCAAGCUUCGGCGACGACACUCCAGGACUCUAAGCGUAUCUCCAAAGGUACAACUAGUUCCCAAACUCGAGGGCUAAUUGCCAAUUACUUCUCAAAAUAUCUCCAAUGGCUCUGGUAGCUUCCAAGCUCGGGGGUUAAGCGCCAAUAACUACUCGACGUGGCUCCUAUGGCUCACUUGGCACAUAAGCUCGGGGGCUGGACGCCGCAAAACUACUCGGAUGAUGACUUGUGUGAAGAUUCAAGCUCCUUGAAUUGAUUAUUCAAUCAUUUCAAGGCUCGGGGGCUGAUAAACUACACUCAACAAUUGAUUUUUUCAAGAUAAAGGAAGAAGAUUCAAGAUUUUAUUGACCCUCAGCCUGAUUCUACGAUUCAACCUAAGGCUCGGGGUCUACUCCAUAUGGAGUGCAACUUUCGCCACCCUCCAUAUAUGAAGAUUACAGAAUCAAGACAAUCAAAGGCUUUGAGCACACCAUAGCCUCAUGGUAGCUUUGAGAAACUUUAUAGAUUCAGCUAGACAAAUACUCGAGGAGCACUAAAACUACUCGGCGAGGAUCUGAAAAGUACUCGAAGACUGCUGCAUUCGACUAUGAAGCGCUUGUGGACUUGUUGGGGAUAGAUCCUCAGUACCCACAAAGGAAGGAAGAAGAUGGACUCCUAGUAGGAUUCCUCUAUAAUCCUACUAGGACUCAUACCAUAUAAUCCUACUAGGAAUCCUCCUUGUAACCAACUAGUUAUCCCACCCCUGGAGUAUAUAAAAGAGGGCAGGAUUAUCUAGAUCAGCAAAAACAACAUAGGGCAAAUCCUUAUACCUCAACACCCAAGCGCAGGGCGCAAUAUACAACACCCCAAAUAGCACGUAGGGUAUUACGCUACUCUGACGGCUCGAACCUAUCUAAAUCGUGUGUCCUCACUUUUACCUUCAAGUUCCAGGUCCGGUGAUCCCCCACCAACAAAUCUACUACAUCGGGAUGCCCCUCGGUAGGUUGCUGGGUAUAAACACCGACAAUUGCCGUGGUAAGGUUUCUUGUGGUGGAACUUGCCCACCAGGGUUCGAAUCCUUGACUCAGCACUGGUGCUCGUAUUUUCCUAGAUUUCUUCCAAAAUUUAACUUGUUCUGUGCUUUCAGUGGUAGACGACGUGCCCGUCGAUAGCGAGAUGUCAGUGGUGACUUCAUCAAUCUUGAGGAUCUACCAGCUUACUAUUUUGGAGGUGCUCAUAUGGGUAGGGUUGCGUGCGUAUGUUUGCAAAGGGCGAGUGUGCAUGCAUGUGGUGAGCAGUUGCAUCUGCACUAUGCUUUGGAAAAAAAAAAAGCUCCUGCCUACAAACCACAUUGAUUUCGCCUUUUUUUUUGAACGCCUCUGAUCUAGGUACAGCUGUACUAUCUGUUCAUACACACGUAUGCCCACUCAACACACGCACACCACUCACACCACCCAUGUACAAAUAAACCUAUAACUACACUCAGACCCAAGACCGCAUCCUUCUUAAGAUCACCGGAAUCCUCUAAGUCCGUAGGCAAUGGGCACAUCAUGUUUCCAUUCUGGUUUCACGCGUGAGAGGUGGACGCUUGGAACCGAUCCAAGCGGAGACUGUUCUUGUUAAGGUGCUGCAUAGCACACACCCAGGUGCGACACCAGCGUUGCGAUCACAGGGGAUUGAACGCUAGCGGGCAGCCUCGCCACUACGAGCCCACUGAGCCACUGCUCGUUCGCUCUACCUUUUUGAAUUCUUUUUUACUUUUAUAUAUUUUUUUUACGAAUUUGUAGACAUAAAUAGGCGAUCCAAAAAUUUACAGAAAUGGACCCCUACCGCCAGAUCAAACGGCGGUAGGUACGCUACCGCCAGUUGAAAUGGCGGUUGGAGCGGUGGACCUAGCUACCGCCGUUUGAAAUGGCGGUAGCCGAGUAUCGCCAUUUGAAAUGGCAGGAUUGCCGUUUGAAACGGCAGUACCUAGGCAACCGCCAGUUGCGUUGUGAAGAGGCAGCUAUAGCCGGUUGAAACGGCUAUAGACAUUUCAACCGGCUAUAACUUGGUUUUUUUAUUUUGUUUUCUUGUAAUUUUUUCUUCGAGUUCGAAAAAAUAUAAAGUUACAUUGGAGCACUAAAUAUUCGAAUAUGUCAAUAUUGGUUGGAAUAUGAAACUUCCUAAUUUGAGAGAGGUACAGUGCUUCAAGGAAAUAAUUGAAAAUGAAUUAACUCCCGGCCAUUAGAUACAUUGCUGUUUCCAGCCAAAUUACAACAGAUAGAAACAAAAUUCGUGCACAACAUAUGAACACCAACGACUCUAGAGUGAAUAAUUAAUUAUAGAUUGCAGUGGCAUGUGCAGCACAGAUGCUAUCCUAAACAUGUGCCAGUGCUAAACCUAACAUGCCUUAGGUAAUUCAAAUAGCUAGGGAUAGAGUCAUCUCUACUUUCUAGUAGAACUGGCUUUGCGAGAGCUGGGAGGGCCCAACCUCAUAUUAGCCAGCACCCCCAAAGGAUGGCGGAGAUGGGGGGCGAUCCUUGUUGUGGUGGUAGGAGCACUUGCACCAUGGAUCGGUACAAAUCAAGUCACCUGCAAUGUUAACCACCCAAGGAUUUGCAUCAACUUCGGAUUGAAGAUCCUUCACCUUACGCUCGAGGUCAAAGAUCUUGCGCUUGCGGUAGUGGAUGUACUCUUGGGUUGGCUUAGGAAGUGGAGGAUUGACCCACUUCGCAUAGCGGCAGUUUCCUUCAUCGAGAUAAGAUUGAACAUGAUGUUAGUUUGUAGCACGAAAAGCUUAGCAAGAGUAAGGAAGUAAUAACUUGACUCACCAAGCCAUACGAGCAUCGAAAGAAAUGUCGGCUUCCAUCACUGUAGCCAUCAUACAGCUAGACGACACAAGCCACGCCAUGGUGACAUAUUGUCCAUGCAUCAUGGUGGUUGUCAUAAGGUCUAAGGGAGUUUGGAGGGGCGUAGUUAGCCCUGUCAUACAGAGGGAAGUCGUCGAGGGGUGCCUCAUACUCCAUUGGGCCAAAAGAUCCUGGCCAAGUGAUGGUGGGAAUAGGAGCAUCCCCUUCUCUUCCCCUUCUCCCACAACCUCUCCCUCUUGCGGAUGCCAUUGUUCUUCCUCCUGCUGAGUGGUGUGGAAGGAUACGAGAGAGGGAGGUCCAAUAUAAGGAGUGUUGAGAUGGAUAUGCACUAUGCCCCCAUGUGCUUAGUACCCCAUCAUGUUCAAUCAUCCUGAAGAAGGCUAGAUAUAGGCUUUGCAGGUGUAGGGACGUAGGGCUCAGUGUCGAGUCCCAUCUGCUUGAGAAGGCUCACGUUUAGGGUCCUUGCAGUCUAUAGUGUAGGCUUUUCAGUGAUGGUUCACGUCAACAAUGAUUUAGCACUAUUUGAGUAUUGUACAGGCAGCAGAGCAGUAUAAUGGGAAUAGUGUGGAAUCUGAGUACUUGAAGCAAGGAGAUGAAACGUUAUCACAGUACAAACAACAGUACAAUGGUAUCUGAGGCGCCCAACAUGACAAACCUAAAGAGCACCUUCCCUAGGAUAAAAUGCCUUAGGUAAUGUAAACUGGUGGAGCACAACUAACGUUCUACUGGGUGAACCGGGGAAGUUUCCCCUUCCUCGUUGUUUUGGAGAAGCAUUCUGCCUCCUGCUUCUUCAUCUUCUUCUAUCGCUCUUAUUGGAGGAGUUGCACCUGACGAGCUUUGAAUUCUUCCUCCUACCAUUUCAGUGUUGCCUCUCGAGCACCUAACUGGUCGCGCCGCCUCUGCAAUUCAUCCUCCUUACCCUUCAAAUGGAUCUGUUGUUGGCGGAUGCGUCGCUCUUGCUCGAGCCGAGUAGCACGUGCCACGUCUCGAGCCGCUUCCAACCUAUCAUAGUAUUGGGCUUUGGUCUCUAACACCGCUAGGAUUAUGCCCACCUCCCCUAAAGGCCUAGUGUCGAUCCAUUCCAUAAAUAUGCAUGCCUGCAUGUUCAUUCGUGAUUAGUUCUAGGUAUCGGUAUCUAGAAAACAUAUUUAAAAUGUUUAUGAAUGGAAUGACCUUGAAAUCAUCGUCAAUGUCGGGACACUUGAACUACCUACACCCUUUCUUCCCCCUAGGUACUCGAUCCUCCCAUACUUGCAACCACCCAUGGAAGCCGCAGUCGCAUUUGGGGCGCUCAUUCCAUGGUGCAAUCCCAUUUUGCUCAUCCCUCCACGACAACAUUUCUUAGAUGGAGACACAACCUCACUACAAGCUUUUGGAUUCGGGUUGGGAAGUGUUAGUAGUGCCUUUAAAUGUUGCCUAAACGUCUGAUAUAUAGAACACUACUGACAUGGUCCAUGGACCAUGUCCAUAAUGGCAAAAGGAAAAGGACAUGCAUGGACAUCAUAGUCUGCAUCGGCCUACCUAUCAAAGUCUCUACACUGUCCUACAUAAUGUAGUCUGCAAAGGAGCACACAUCAUAGUCUACAACAUCGUACACAUCAUAGCCUGCACCAGCCUAAAAAACGUAAAGGAUGCCCGAUGGACUAAAUGCGUCCUCGCUUGUGAUGCACAGCACCAGGACCACGUCUCGCGGCCCGGUGCGCUGCUCUAGUCUGCAACCGAUCGUACGUAAAGGGCUCCGGAGGGGCAACCUCACGAGCCAAACAUCUUGGUGCGUCUGCAGCUGGUGUCGUGAACUCCUGGGUGUAGUCCUAUGUCGGAGGCACUGAUGCAUCACCCAACUGCGAAGGACCUAUCUUCUUAGCGUCGUAGCUGAAAAAGGAGUCCACCCAUGCGGAACACAUCCUCUGGAUUUCGUCCUCUACGGACUCCUCAUCGGUCCCUCCAUGGCCUGUGUACGCUGUUAUUGAACCCAAGAAGUGUUAUUGUCAAUUUCGAUUCGUAUUUGUAAUGGAAUAGAAUGCAUGUAUUGAUGAUGCACCUAAGUCCUCCACAUGGAGUUCACGUGAAGACGGUCCUGCUGCACUAUAUCCUCUAAACUACUGCGGAACUUUGUCACAAAAUUAUAAGUUAGUACGACCAAUUAGAGAAUAAUUGUGAAUGGAAAAUGACAAAGUAACGAACACGUACUUGUAGGGGUCAAAUAUUGUGGACCCGGCGCAUAAGUGGAAGGACCUGCUGCAGCAGCUAUCCAAGAUGGUGCAUGUCGAGGAGUCCACGCCUCGGGGGGCGCCUGCAUGUGCCUGUGGUGCACAAGACGCCACGGGGUACAACGAACGUGUGGAUGCAGCAGAAGACGUACUGGGGUGGUGCGUAGGUGGUGCUGAAGCCGAACCAGGGUGUUGUGUAGGUGGUGCUGAAGACGACCCCGGGUAGGCAGCCCGUGGUGGAAGUAGAACGUCGGCAUCACCACCACAGCAGCUGAUGGACCGCAGGGAACCUAGUACAGAGGUGCUCUAUCCUCUUGUACGUCGACUCGUGCUCCUGCGGAGACAUGGUCCAGCAUUGCUCCAUGCCGGUCCUCACCGUCACCUGAACCGCUACAAUAACAUUGUAUUGAUGCCAAUGCAUAGUUCUAGUUAGGCACACCAUAUUCCAUACAAAGUGCAACAUAAUCCAUAGAAGUUUGAGUAGCAAAUGAUGCAAAAGUGUACCACGAUGUCAAAGUUCAUGUCCCUGGAAUGCGGGUACAUCUGCGUCAGUGGUGCAGUCGUCGUCGCUGCCUACCUAGGAACGUGCAUGACGCGUCUCCGUGUCCUGGGGAAGUACCACUGCAGGUACACUGCGAAAGUGUCGUUGGAGUGUGGACGGUCCUCCUGCACUAAGUUCUCCAAAGAGUCCACCCACAUCUCCACGUACGAAACCAUCCUCGGACCCCACUGCGUCGCUAGCCUACCACCACCUUGACGUGUCCACCUAACAUAUGCAUCGUGCAACGGGUUAGACUAAUGUAAAAUCUUUAUUACACAGAAAAUGAUUAGAUGGGGCUUACCUGUGAACGUCAGUCGGGACAAUGUGAGUAACAGGAAGUGGGGAGUCCUGGUACCGGUGGAACUGCCUCAUCACACGAUGUACCGCGUACUCCUCGAUGUGGGUGUCAUACACCAGUGGCUUCUUCGUCAUCCAGUACUCUCGGUCUCGUAGGCACAACAAAGACAGCCCAUGCGGGGCAGGGGCAUGGAUGUCCGCUGUGGUGUAAGGUGUCCACCUGACAUCAGUGUCGACAAGAGCGACGAACUGCCCGACAAAGUCUGGAUACGACUUCUUCGUCUGAACUCCAACCCACGAUCCCUACAAAAAAAUUAUUUCACAAACAGGUUCAGUACUCAAAAAGUGAAUGCAUGCAACAUAUGAAUUGAGUACGAAAAGUAAUUAUAGGUUUAGUAUCGUACAUUUCUCAAGCACCACAUCAACCCCACUGUGGGUCUGUCAACGUCAUCAUGGUCGAAAGGCAACUCUGGGUAGGGUUCCACAUUAAUGUGUGGCCGACCUAUCGGGAAGCGCUCGUACGACCAAAGCUGAAGAAGCAACAGGCAACCAACAAAGAUAGACUCCACCAAGUUUACCUUAUAGCAGCCCGUGCAAAGCCCCCUAUAGGUCGCUACCAAUACAGCUGAACCCCAGCUGUAUUGUGGAACCUCGUCAAGCGGGGCCUCCACUAUCCCCCUCGCAUAAGGGAGGAGGUGCUUAGGCACCGAGUUCCCUUGGGAAGUGUAGAACAUGAUCCACCUAAAGAGCCACAGUAAGUACGCCUCCAAGUGCCUCGCAACUAUAGCAUCGGCGGCGGCGGCUCUCAUGUAGUCGGCCUGCACAACCAUACAAAGUUACUUUACACAUUCACAAAACUUAGCGAUAACGAAAUGAAAAGAUAGGUAAAUAAGUACUCACACUGAAUUGCAUGAGCCACUUCUUCAUGGGUCCGUGUGUGGAGCUGAAGGUACGGUACGGGUCGGCCUGAUCGUUCCGCGGAAUGUGGGCAAACCGUUUCAAAAGCUCCUCACGCCAACUAACUGGCAUGUCCUCCGCGCCAAUGGUUGUGGCAGAACCACCCAAAUUAACUCGGCUCAAGUGUGCUCAACAUCGCCUCAAAUACGAAAGGAAACUUUAAUCGGAUCAAAAUGGUAGUCUGUUGGGUUUCACCCGCUACAAUCACGUAUUUCCGAUCAAAACAAGCAUACUCGCAUGAAGACAAGUCCAGAGAUUACAACAAUCCAGAUAAUGUAUUACAGGUCCCAAAUUAAUUUAUUACAACCGAGUGUUCAAAUGCAUAAAGAUUGUUCAGAGUUUCGAGCAGCGGAAAAAGAAAAUGACAGUUCUAACAACGAUGCAUAAUACCAUGGUGAAGCCUGCCAUGAUAUCACUCACCACGGUCCUCACCCACCGAGGAUGGGUCCCACUCGAUCGUCCAUCCCGGAGGGAUAUGGCACGACCAAGUCACACUAGCAACCACAUUAUCAAUGUCAUUACCUGAAAACAUAGCCACAAGCAAGGAUGAGUAUGCUAAUACUCCGCAAGACUUACCCGUCAGGUGGUAUCUAAUCCACCGACUCCAAGACAUGCAAAGCUUUUUGGUUGAGAGGUUUGUUUUGCCAACAGCUUCUAAAAUGGAUCCUUACUUUCAAGUUUUAGUAUCAAGUUCUAGUUGAUUAACCAUUCUCGGUAAGCACCUAUUCUAAGCAAGCAUGGUAAAACAAGCAAUUUAAUUCAAUCAUCAGUAUUAAUCAUCAUACUUGUUCCUCUUCUUACUCAGUGCAGAAGUGCAGUCAAGUAGUCUCAAACUGUAAGAGGCAGACGAUUCGAAUCGAGUUUCUUAACCUUACAAGGUGAACCUAAACCCACGACAUAUGCGUACCACACCGGGUCCACACAUGUCAGCCGCCCCCAUCAAUCCCCAGGCACGUGGCCAGGGCCCACUUCCCUUGGAUACAAUGCCCCACGGUCCCGGAACGUCGUCGUACCGUGACUGCACUUGUAUCCACAUGUGGCUGCAAGGGAACCCAGUUCUAGAGAGAGUAGGAAGGUAUGCCUACGUCCCGGUUCAAUCAGGUACUAGGCUUUCCCAUCACAUACUAGAUAUGAGUUUAGUACUUUCAAACACUUGACUACAGCUCUAACAUAUUUCGACCUUAGCAUCUUUCUUUUAGACAGACGGGGGCAAUCCACCAAUUCUAUUCAUAUUGCUCAGCCCCGCCCAUCAACCUUAUGAUUCCAACAUAAGUAAACAGGCAACUCCUAUAGCUCGCGAGUGACAGGAAAUCACUUGAUUUUUACCGAGUCCCUAUUUAGCAUAGCAACUACAUGACUUAUCAUGCUAGUAUUCAAACAUAGGUACUUAGGAUCAUGCAGCUAAGGUUUCAAGCAACUCCUACGAACUUAAUGCACAAACAUAAGUAACAUAAGUCGUGCGUAAUUUUAGAAACUAAGGUUAUGCUACGGGGCUUGCCUUCUUGCCCUAAAUCAGCCUUGGGCUCUUCCAAACUUUGGUUCGGGCCUUGGUUUGCCUCGAUAAUGUUCAGCUCAGCAAGAGUGUGUCCUUCCUCGCGUUUCGGGCUGAGCUCGUACGUUCCGUCAACAAGGUUAGCUUCUACAUGAGAUGCAUAUGCAUAAGAUUUUGUUUACAAACUUUCAUAACGUAGGUUUCAUCUCAUUAAUUAUUGCACAAGCAUAGGGUGUAUUUUGGACCACAUUCACUUAGACAAGGUUAUAACCAUUUCUUUUCUUUGCGAAACAAGGUUGGUUGGAUGAAAACAUAAUUUUUAUUUUGAUGGUGAUUGUGUACACAUAUAACUUUCUUAGAAGUUUAUUAUUCCGAAGACAACAGGUUGUAGUGUGUUGGUACUGUUUACCAACCUUUUAGGAAUGAUUGUGCUACUGAUGAAAAGCACAAAAUAAUCAUGUGUUAGCCUACAAAUCCUAGUAGCAAUUAUCUUUAUUAAAUAAGUUGAUGAAUAAAUGUUUCAGGAAGCAUCUACUAAAAUAUGAACAUGAAAUUUUUACAGGAUCUUUCCCUCUACACGAGAUAUCUACUGUAAAAAAAAUUGAGAUGAAUUUGACAACCACAGAAUUUAUAAAAAACAAAUAUGGUUAUUCUUCAGCUAUAAAGAAUGAUUUAUAACCGGUGUUUUGUUAUUAGUUUAACUCUACAAAUUUUACAGGAGGGUUUGCAACACCAUCAAAUUUUACAGGAGGGUUUUCACAUGGCAUUUAACAGGAAUCGAAUGAAAAAUCUAAUAAAGUGUCAUAUAAGGAACUAAAGUUACACCCGGUGUUAAAUAGGAAAUGAAAAAAAUUAAGGAUCAGAAAGUAACGAGAGAACUUUUGUGUCAAAUAGGGAAUUAUCUCAACUCAAGCCACUCAGGCAGUCGUGCCAGCAUACGCAAUCACACGGCAUAAAGAAUCCUCCAGUUGAGGUUCCGAGACCAUUGAUCCAAUCCAACGCCGUUCUCCAUUUCCAGCUCGGCGGCGCGAUGCAACUUGCGGUGUCACCAGACAGCCUCCUCUUCUUCUGCUCGGUCACGGCGUCGGCCGCCGCCGCCUUCGCGCUCAUCUCGCUGUACAGGCACCUCGCUCGCCGGCGAGCCGGGCCAUCAGCGGACGGCGGCCUCGCCCUCGCGGCGAGCUCAGCGGCGGCAGCGGGAGGAGGCGAAGGCGAUGAGUCGGAGGAGCUCCUGCCGCUGAGCGCCGCGGCGGCGAGCCUCCCAGCGUUCAUGUACAGCCGGCUGGUCAGGCACAGCGGCAAGGGCGCGGCGGGUUGGACCGAGUGCGCCGUCUGCCUCGGCGCCAUCCAGGUCGGCGCCAUGGUGAAGCUGCUGCCGGCGUGCGGCCAUGUCUACCACCGCGACUGCAUCGACCUCUGGCUGUCGUCGCGCUCCACGUGCCCGCUCUGCCGGUGCAGGGUCGGCGGCGACGCCGCAGCACCCGGCCAGGAGCCAAGCCGGCAGCUCGCUCAACCUUCUUCAGCAUAGAUCAUCUUCAGUUCUUCACACCUGCAACAAAUGCUUCUACUAGGAUCUUUCCCCCCCUCCUUUGAGGUUUGAGCUUUCAAGAGCAAGCAGCAUUCAUAUGUACUUGUAUUGUAUAUAUUGUCUGCAACUUCAAGCAAAUGUGCAUAGAAGAGUUUGACUGCAAAUUCGAGCAUAUUGACAUCUCAAUUAUUCCGGAUUCGUGAAUUGCUCUCUGAGCAGAGAAAUCACUAAUCAUCGUAUAAUUAAAUUUACACUUGCUAGGAUUAAUACAAAGGCCAAAGCAAUACUGGAUGAACUAUAUAGGCGGCAGGCGCGGAGAUCCCUUUUUCUUUAAUCUAUCCAUUUCCGCAGCCUCCCAAAGCAGUGUGGCUGCCACAUAGAGAAUGAAUUGCAUUCCAGAAGCUUGAGAGUUCAUCAUACUCGCAAAUAAGAGUUUGAGAAGAAGAAAAAAUUCGUCACAAAUGUGUGACAAACGAAAGCAUUACAAAUAAAGAGAUAUGUAAGAGCCACGACCAGGAGUUGGGUUUCCAAGAAGAAUUGUAGCUUAAAUCUGUACCACUCGCACCGUAGGUUGUUGUUCCUGUAAAGCUGCCAUUUUUUGGGGAAGUGCUGCAGUGUACAAGCAAAGGGGAAUGGUUUAGCAGAGACUUUGCAUUACAGGUUUAACAGAAAGAGAAUUCAGAUAUGGAAGUUUAACAUGAAAAAGAUCACUUUAGCAGCCCCAGUUUCUACGGGCUCUGCAAGUAGGCAAAGUAGAGAAGAUCAAAAUAACAGUUGUUUGUCCAAUAAUAAUCUACCAAGAAUUUUUUUCCUUCUUCCGAGCAACAAAUAUGCUUCAGUCAGAUAUGAAUCAUUUGAAAGAAAUUUCUUAUUAACGUUAACUAGUGUGCAGGGCUAAAGAUUGUUCUAGAAUGACAAUAAAUGCCUCACAAAAAUUAUCAAAUAUGUACACAUAUCUACAAUAUGAGGAUUUUAAAAUUAUACUGAACUGCUGGAGGAUAUCAAUUUUGCAAACUACCACAAUGCUUUGGUGAUCUGGCAGUCGCACAAGAGAAAAACCAAUAUGUACUUGGAAGACUAGAACUACAAAGAAACUUUCAACAGUUACGUACCCAAAAUGCUUCUGACAGCUAGAACAUUUACCAAAAAGAAACAAUUAUCUUGCAAUCCACAAUCGUUGGAACAGUGUACAAUGGAGCAUAUGGUAGGAUGAUUCAGAAAUAAAACUUUUAACCAGGGAACUAAUAUGCUGAAAUUAGGUUUAUCAUGAAUAACAUAUGCAUGGGUGAAUUCAGAAAUAAGACUUUUAACCAGGAAACUAAUAUGCUGAAAUUAGAUUUAUCGUGAAUAACUUAGAAAAACCUGCACACACAGUUUCGCUCCGUAACCAUAAUUGCCCAACCUCCAUAUGCUGGUGGUGAAGCAGUGGCUCUCUUGGAGUCCAGAAGCGAAGGAAUGUACUUUGUCCUACGUGUAGAGAACUACAGAGUCUAGACUAGGUGGUCGGGCUACUUACUGGGAUGACAGGUCAUGGUGAAGAGUAGUGUAAGUGUCCAGACAAUUAAACAACCAUGGUGCAAAUCAACUUUGGGUACCGUGAUUUUUCUGAAAUUUGUUAACGUCUGUAAGACUGUGAUAGUGCCAAAUUUAGUCCAUUUACUUGAUCAAAUUUAGUUGUGUUUCACUUGGGAUGUAUGUUUUACAUCAGAGGAUCGUUAUGCACUCUAUAUGCUCAAGAUACGAAUGCUUGAGCAGCAUAAUAAUGACAAGAUUGCACAAACCAUCUAGAGGACAACCAGCAAACUUCAAGGGCUUCAUCAGAAUUAGGGGUUACCAAAGGAGCCAAAGUCAACCAAAGCCUAUAUGAGCUAAAGAGGUUUUAUGUACUCCCUCAGAUUCAAAAUAAAUGACGUUUUAGAGUUCCUGCUUAACUAACUUUGACUAUCGAUAUAUAUUACAUAUAUUUACAAUGUAAGAUAAAUGUUACUAGAUUCAUCAUGGAAACUACUUUUCAAACAUUUAAUUACCUUUCUUUGAAGGUCAUAUUUUUAUAGAAAUUGUUGGUCAAAAUUUCACCUUGAAGACAAUGCCAAUGUCCUAAACGACAUGUACUUUGAACCAAAGGCGGUUUUUUGUUGUGUCAUGUAAAAGUUCCUCGCUCCAUUUUUUAAUAGGUUGGUAGCAACAGUAUUUGCUAGGUUUGACAAACGAUAUGCACCAUCUUAAAACUUGUAUUAAUGUUUAAAGGUUUUAAAUUCUUAAACAAUUGUGUUAGAUUUGUCAGACAAAGGUGACCGAUUAAGGUCCUCCUUGAAUGAUUCAGUGGUCAGAAGAAAAAGUUUCAGUUUUCACAACGAAAAUUUGUUUUCACAGAUACAACUGAUGGGCCAGAAAACUUCCACCCUAAUAAAUAACAUAUUCAGGUUAAUCCACCAAGAUCUUAAGUUAACACCGGAAAGUUUCCACGCCCCAGUUAUUUGGGCACUAAAUUAUUAUCCCGCUCUAAAGGUACAUGCUGCAGUUUGCAAUUACUCAGGCAGUAAAUUGUCUACUACUACUUCCUCAAAUAGUGGGCACUAGAAAUGGCAGUAGAAGCCAUGCUAUGAUAAGAUCACUGCUGCUGAUCAGACAGUGAGGCAACCUAUACAAGUGCAGAUUAGCAAUUUAGCAUCAGCCCUACUGUUUUGUAAGCACAUGAUGUAUCAACCCCAUGUUAGCUCGUAGAGGAAUGGAUCCAUAUAUAGUUUCAAGGAUCUACCCAUUAGGAUUGGCAAAGCUGUAACUUUGACAGAUUGAUUUAACCAGCUUUCUGUCUACAGUAUAACAUCUCUCUAGGAAAACAAUUAAGGCUCUGUUUGUUCAGCUUGUGCUUGUGGAUUUACAAUCAAGCUCAAACACACAGGCAGCUUCUCAUCCUGGAUUGUAACACUCCAACUCAAUCAUAACCACAAAGCAGCUCUGAACUCUGAUGCACACAUUUCCAAAGGUUUGCUUUCUUUUUAUUUUUAUUUUUCUUUUCAUUUUCUUUCUCUUUUUUCCAUUUAUUUUUUGUUUCUUUCUUUUUUUCUUGAGUAUUCAACAUUUGGACUUUUUACAUUAGCAUUGGUGUGCAUUACUACAGCUGGAAACUGAUAACCACAUAAUCAAGUCAUAGAGAAAAGAGUCACAAACUUCAUAAAUGUAAUUAGGAAUUUCAAAAUCGAAAACAGUAUUAUUUUCAUUGGGAAAAAGCCCACUUAUCAACCUUGAACUACUGCUUCUGUCAGUUUUCAAAUUAACUUCAAUAUUGCUCAUUAACCCUAGGCUGAUUUUCUUGAUGGUUCUGACAACAAUGACAGCAUGAUUGCUGGUAUUUCAACAACAUAUAAUCAACUACCAUCCUAAUCAACACAGGCACAUAAAAAAAUAUUAGCCGCUAGGUGCUACAUAAGAGGGCGUUUGGUUCCACUAACUUAUUUUUAGCACCCAUCACAUCGAAUGUUUAGAUACUAAUUAGGAGUAUUAAAUGUAGACUAUUUACAAAACCCAUUAUAUAAGUGGAGGCUAAACGGCGAGACGAAUCUAUUAAGCCUAAUUAAUCCAUGAUUUGACAAUGUGUUGCUACAGUAAAUAUUUGCUAAUGAUGGAUUAAUUAGGCUUAAUAGAUUCGUCUCGCCGUUUAGCCUCCACUUAUGUAAUGGGUUUUGUAAAUAGUCUACGUUUAAUACUCCUAAUUAGUGUCUAAACAUUCGAUGUGACACAUGCUAAAAAUAAGCAAAGGGAACCAAACGUCCCCUAAGUCACCAGUGAUCUAAGCUGCGAACAUGGCAAAACACUCAAAAAAACCGCCCUGGGGUGGAAAAAUGAACAGCUUGUGCUAAAUUAAUGGUUUUGAAGCUGAGAGUUGAAAACAAGACUGUGCCCAUAGCCCCAUAGCUCAAGUUUGAAAAGUACACGUUUUCCUUUCAAUUAUACUCGUUAGUGCAUUUGCUAACAUUUGGAGGUUCUUCAAAUGCAUCUACAAUCAUAAAUUGAGGGGUGCAUUCUCCACUAGAGAUAGAUUUAUUCCAUCAUGAGCAUCAUCAUACAAUAUGCAUAGUGUUAUAUGGCUCAUCAUAGGCUUGUCAAUAUUGUUUUAGCAAUUCCAAUGACUACUGUAAUACUAAAAGUAACAAGCGAAGGAAAUCCGGCGUUGACAUGAAGAGAAAAGGAAGUCAACCUACACCACAAUGAAGCAGGUGAAAGGGUAUUGGGACACUUUUUCUGUUAUUUCCAAUGAUCAAAAUGUUGUAUGUCCAAAUGUUAGAUAUCCUAUAUCUUUCGUAGUCAUAAUGUGGAUUUGGAUUUUGGACUACUGCUCCAAUGUUUAAUAAAAGUAGGGAAAACCGGUUUCUAAGCCCCCUAUUGUUUAGGAAACAGAGACAAUAUCUAAACUACAUCUCAUGUACUGUUUAUUUGCCAUUCAAUACUCACAAAUUAUUGGAUGGUUUGAAGCUUUUGUCAAGAAAUAACCGAUCCACUCAAGGAUACCGAAACAAGUCACACAGUUGGAAAAAAGGUGCCCUCCUCAUCCUUAUUAGGUUGACACAAUGGACAUCAUCAGAUUCAUUUUCCUCUCUCUGUCCCUCUCUGCCAUGGGUCCAUAGGUAAUAGAUCGAGCAUCCUCACCUCUCCUUCUAAACCACGUGAAAAACCAUGCAGCAACAGCAGCAACAAGAGCAACCGCAGCCUGGCGCCUACCUUGCAAGUCCAUGUCUAAGAAUACAAUGCAGUGUUCAUUAGAGCUCAGUAGAAGAACUUGGGGUCAUGUUGUUAAGCAAGCAAACAUUCAGAAGUACAUGUUAUCCUAGACGCGGCUGCCACACCCAAAGGUGCUCCUCCGACGGCAAGGAUUCAUCAUCGACCUAGGCACUUUGCUCAGCUCAGUACUACGGGCAUGAUUGGUUGCAAAGGAGUAAGCCAUGGUUCAAAGACACAAAAAAUCAGAUCGACAAGUAUACGUGACAACCAUAGAUCCGCAUAAGAAACAACAUAGGGUUCAUCAAAACCAUAAAUGCAGAUGCAGAACAACCAUAGAUCAGAAACAACCUAGGUUUCAUUGACACCAAGCAAGAUGUACCGUCGCACCACCGGUGGAGGCACAGGGUGCCGCCGGAGGACCUCGACCCAACGGGAGGAUGGUACAAGAACAAAAAAAAAUCAGAUCGACCUCUAUAUGUGACAACCAUAGAUCCGCAUCACAAAGUACCUAGGGUUCAUCACAACCAUAAAUCCAGAUACAGAACAACAAAAGGAGCGCACGGAUCUGAGAGAAGAAGAACCUAGGGUUCAUCGACACCAACCAAAAUAAGACGAAUCAACAGAUCAACGCGGGAGAGGGGACGAAGCAGCGUAAGAGGAGGGGGAGAUGUAGCGUCGCAGCACCGGGGGGCACAGGGUGCUGCCGGAGUACCUCGAUCCACCGGCGAACCGAGGUCGAACAGGAGGAGGGAGAGGAGAAGGCACACCAGGGAGGAGAGGAGCGAAGACAAUGGUGGGAGGAUGGGAGGUCACCGUAAGCCUCCCGCGCCUUUAGCCCCGGGACGGCGCCAUCUCCCGCACUCUGCCGAAAAAUUCCCGCCAACAUCGCUCCAUCCCGGCUCACGAGCGAAGGAGCCCUCUAGGCGGACAGGCCGAUGCGGGAUGGAAUGGGAGAAAGUAACGGGGGGUGCGGUGUUUCGGUUCUGGAAGGCCAACCGAACACGCGAGAGUGCACGGGAAGGUUCGGGACGGUGCAGCGGACGGUGCCCUCCCGGCUACCAAUCACGCCCUUAAUACAUAGCUCCUACUAUCAUUUUUUUUAUGUUAUUUUCAGGUUUGUGCCAGAUCAAAGAUUCCAAAGCUUUAAAGGAUACUCCACGGUAGCGUAUUACACACGGUGCACUAACCUGGAAGGAAACACGCAGCUCCCAUGACCUGCAAAACCAAGCGGCAGCACCGACAGCACAGAGGUUAGUUGCACAUCUCCGUAGAAAGAGCAGAAUCCAACAAUAAAGAACAGAACUAAGUUUUUUUAAAAAAAAAAAAGAAUCAAAUCCGAGCUUGCUGCGUCGGCGAGAUUCCGGGUGUUUACUGGGGUUCAGCGCGGUGAGCGCGGCGGCGCCGGAGAAGUCGCAGGCGGCGGGGCUGGCAGCGCCGCCGGCGCGGAGGAAGUAGUCGUUGAAGGCGUAGGAAGCGUGGCGCUGGAGGUCGGGCGGGUCGUAGCAGGCGCCACCCUGCUGGAUGGCGGUGCAGUCGGCGCGGCCGCCGUCGGCGCUGCACGCCCAGUCGAUGGCGCUCUGCAGCGCGCCGUCCUCAGCGUUGUUCUUGGCAACGCACCAGAGCUGGCCCCCGCCGCUCACCCCGACCCCCGCGGCGGCGCCGGCGGAUGCGCGCGGGGCGAGCAGGAGGAUGGGAGCGAGGAGCAGGAGGAGGGGAGGGGAGGGCGCCGGCAUUGGGUGCGCCAGGCGGCGGCGAUUCGGGGGGAUCGGUGGAGGAUUUCAAAUGCUACCCUUGCUGGAGGGGGAGUGGGGGACAGAGACAGACAGCCCAGGUCGGGAGGUGAGGUGGUGUGCUCAGUGUGGAGUGUGGACUGAUGUCGUAGCGGAAUGUGCAGCAGCGCGUUUUGAUGCAGCUCCUUCGCUUUCGUCUCCGGCUUUCCAGUGGGCAGUGGGCACCGCCGCAUCGGAACCGGGAAUGCGCUGUGAUCUUUCUUUAAAACUUGUUUUUCUACGUGCUUUUUCCUCUUUCGAGGGAUACCAAUAACAUGAAUACGCUAUUUUUCCUUUGUAAUGCUUCCACUCGAGUGUCCGGACCAACGUCUCGCUUCGGACGGAGACGUGGGCAUAAUAUCGACAAUCCAGGUACACGAGCAAUGUAUAAAGAUCAAGUGAUCCUUAUACGGGGUCAUGUGUUAUUAGUCUUUUAGGUCUAUUUUCAUCCCAUAAUGUUAAACCACAUAUGGGCUUUAAGGGUGGAGCCCAUUAGCACAUAAAGCAGAUCCUUUCUCUCCAUGCUCGCUCUCUUCUCCCUGUUCUCAGCAUGGAGGGUGCCGUCAGCAUUGAGCUCAGCAGCAAGGGGAAGGGCGGAGAGGAGUGGAAGGGCGGCGUCGGUGGCUUGGCUGCAGCCUGCAGGCCUUCCUGAGGCAUGUGGUUGAGAUAGUGAGGAGAAGGUGAGAGAAAAUAUUUCUUUAUUGCUUAUGGCAUGUGGUUUUAGCGUUAUGGGUACCUGCAAGGAUGAAGUGCUAUAAAAACUACCUGCACAAUGGUGAGGCAGGCCUUAUAGAACUAUAAGAACCACUUGUCCUCUCCAUUGUGGCGCCCUAAUCGCUGUCAUUUCAUUAAUAUAAUCCCCCACUGCCUCUUGCUCGAUCAACUUUAUCGAUUCCUCGUCUUUCCAUCUCCAGACCAUUUACCCCUAUCCAAUCCUCGGCUUCUCGCAAUCGCAGCUGCCACCGCUCGCAAAAUGGUGGAUAUUGCCAUCCUGCCAAGCUCGUUUCCCUCGUCCGCCUCUGAGGUCGUGCUGCGGCCGUCGCCUUCGUAGUGCUGAAGAACCACUGCUGCAUCACCUGCUCAUAGCUCUCCUCUUUGCCUUCUAUUUUUGCUCCGCUACCGAGCUCUCGAUGCCAACAGGCUGCUGCUCUAGUGAUUUAUUUCAUGGACGUCAGUGCUGAUUGGAAGUAGGGAUGCGAGGAUGAUCGACCAUCUAGGCCUUCCCAAGCAGCAAGGAUAGCGGUGGUCCAGACCCUAGAGCUAAAGAGGAGGAAGGAGACAAGGGAUGCUGGGCUCAAGGUGCUUUCGGAGCUCAUUGUCCAUGGAGCAGCUUCAGCAAUGUCUCACUAAGUUUUAUGUGAUGUUUGCAUAAGCUAUAUGAUUUGAUGCAAAUAUUUUUUAUAUGUUGUAGCGUCUCUCACUGCUUGUUUCAGAAUAAGUUGAUUUUUUUCUGAUGUUGCGGUUGCUUUUUUUUUUGCACAUUACGGUGGCCUUUCUAGAUGUUGCGAUUCUAUUUCCUUGAAUGUUUGCAAUAAUGAAUUUCAGAUGUUGCACUCUUGAGUUUCAGAUAUUUCAUCCGUUGAAUUUUUAUGUUACUCUACUUGCUAAAGAUGCUCAGGGUACUAUUGAUGUUGCACAAGGUCAAUUGAGAUGUUUAAAUAGUAAAACUAAGAUGUUGCUUUUGAUGAUGUUUUGAUGUCGCCAUGUUUGAUAUGAAAUGCUUCAUCUCCUUAUUUUUCUAUGUUUCGGUAGUUGACUGUUGAUGUUGCACUUGUUGAUUCAAUUUGUUGCAUAAGAUCUCCAUCAUUUUUAGUUUGAUUUUUUCUCGUUGGAGAGGUUUUUCCUUCAGCAUUGACUAGCGUAGCUUCUUCGAGGGGCGCAGCUGGCCGGUGAUGAUAUCUCCCUAUGAGUACACUGCACGCAGAGGCUGAUCCGGGUGUGAAAGGUAGAUUUGUGGUUGCGGCAAGUGAAAAGUAAUGAGAGGUUCGCAUGCACGAUAUUUUAAAGGGAUGGUAGUUGAUGCGUACAAUGGUAGCCCCGAACGGAUAUCCGAGCGCUAUAAGUCCAUUUUUUUCCUAGGAUAGAUCGCAACAGGAGAAUUUGUGAAAGGUCGCAAGAUCAUAUAUAUUAGCAUAAAUUAAUUUAACUAAAAUAAAUUAAGCUUUUCUAGUUUCCUUUGUAUUGUAUGACUUGUCCAUUCAUGUUAACAGCCUCGUGGUGCUCAUUAUGGCUCAUUAUGUUAGAAACUUUCUUCCCUAUCUUCUUUGUUUCUUGUUCUCUUGAUGAUAAAAAGAACUAGGGUACUCUCAUUAUUUUACCAACUUGACCUUAUGUUUUACUAUAGGAAUUAUUUUCAUCAAUUAUAUGAGACACUUUUUCAGCAAAAUGAUUUAAUAUUAUCCAACUCAACGCAUGAGAUGGAAGUAUGCUUUUAGUUUCACACUUUUUUCUCAAAAUUUUCAAGUUGAAUUUAAAUUGAAAUUAGAUGACAUAAUCACAGCGGUCACAAAACCGAUAACAUGAUUCCUUCUUAGUAUUGCAAAUCGAUCUAAUCCAAAUAAACUUCAUAUGAAAUAGUGUCAUGACACCACAAUUGUGUCUAUAACAUCUUUUUUGGAUGACUUGCAAAAUAUACUUUUAUUGAAUUAAUAACAUUACAAGAAACAUAUGCUAAAAAGGAUUUCGCCCAUGAUGCCGUCCAUUUUACAUGGCAGAUGAAUGUAUUAAGUGGCAGUCCAUUUGUAAGUGGAUCUACAGUCAUUAGAUCUAUACCAAUAUUCUUGAUUCACACCUCCUUAUUUUGCUCUUCUUCUUUAACUAGCCAGCAUUCUAAUUUAAAUCUAUAUGUCUGGCUCACUUUGAGUAUCUAUCUGAGUAUUUCCAAUAAUUUAAAGACCACACACAAAAUUCCAUGGACGCUACCAAUUCAACCUUCAUAGUGGAAGUAGCAUUACCGAUUAUUUUUCACUCUUUCAUGAAAUUACUCCAACAAACAAUAUACGCGGCAUGGAUUUUCUUGAGUUUAGGCAUCUAACAUCACCUCUAGAUGCCUUUACUUAGUACUAGUAGAAAUAUCCGUACGUUGCUACGGGUCUUUACUUGCUCUCAAGUUAUUAUUCGCUUGUUUGGCUUCGCUUCACAAUAUGUUGGUAUGUUAUCCCUAGUAGUCCUCUCUUUGCAAGUAUAGUAGUAGAAGACAUUUGUGGGUGGUUUGAUACCAUCUAUUUAUCACAUGGGACCCACACAUGGAAAUAAAAAAAAUUCACCGCUUAACCUCCGUUCUAUCCAUUCAUUCGAUUUCCCCCGUACUCAUCGUCAUUCAGCCAGUCGCUGCCUCUUCUUCCAUCGGCACCACCUGCAUCUUGCCCUAUCCUCGCCGUCGCCCAGGCUCCGCGCAUCUUGCUGUCCUCACUGUCACCCAGGCAAGCUCGUCCUCCUCAUGCCUAGCCUCAUUACCGCUUCGAGCGCUAGGCCACAGCGCCUCUAACCGCUAUGAGCAGGAGUGCGUCCUCCUCCUCUUCUCAUUUUCCACCCACCUCCCUUCUAUAAUCCACUCCAAAUUGUUCCAAUCAAGUGCAAAAUCGAGCUCCCAAUUGCUAGAUGUGGAGGCCUUAGUUCCGGAUCUGAAGGGGAUGGACGUCAUUGAGAGGGGGUGUGAGGUCCCAACCUUCGCCCCUGUUUUGCGUUGCUUGUCGACUGCCGUUGCGCCCCUCCCCUCCAUGGCGCCAUACCCUCGCUGGCACAUGGCUCUACUUGGUUGACUGCAAGGAGUCAUUCUGCUCCUUGUUUCCUUUCCCCUUCCUCCUCUCUCCGUCACCCCUUAGGUCCAGUUGGUGGGUAGGGCGUGUAGCCCGAGGGAGCAGCUGCUCGCCAGGGCGAGCAGCAGCAGUGCGUGGUGAGCGCGGGGAGGGUUGGCCACGCGAGCGAUGACGCGCCACCGGCAAGUGCGCUGUAUGGGCGGGACAAAAGAACAUGAGCAAAGGCUUGACCCGAAAUUGAUAUUCACUGCAAUUUUGAGUCCAUCUCUACCUUAUCCACCCACUCGGCUCUCUCCUCGACCCCUCCAACCUUAUCCACCUACCCGCCGGCCCCUUCUUCUCCCCUCUCUCACAUCCACCCGCUGGCUCCUUCUUCCCUCUCCCCACUUUCUUCUCCACCCGCCAGCCCUUUUCCUCCCCCUCUCUCCACUUUCUGUUGCGUCGGCCCUUCUUCUUCGGGGCGUGAGGGCGUGGCGGCGGGAGCUUCAAGGGGCGCGAUGGCCGAAGCUUCAGGGGUGCGGCGGUCGAUUAUUCGCCCACCCGGCUCUCUCCUCGGCCCCUCCAACCUUACCCACCCACCCGCCAUCCCCUUCUCCUCCCCUCUCUCCCAUCCACCCGCCGGCCCCUCCUCCCCUCUCUCCACUUUCUCCUCCACCAGGCGGUGGGAGAUUCGUGCCGCGGCGGCCGCAGCUUCGGGGGUGCGACAGCGGGAGCUGGGGAGGUUCUGAGCAUGAACAUUGCCAUUUUAUUAUAAGUUUAAAAGUAUUUACUUUUCUACUAACUUCAAAACUUUUUCUUUCGACACAUGGUCAAAUUCUAAAUACAAGAUCUAAUCCCUUCGAUCCUAAGGCUAAUCCUAGUGGGAGUUUUAUAGAGGUUUCAUGCACAUUAAAUACGGUGACACAUCAGCAUAUGUGAUGACAUAGCAUGGUAGUUAUGAAGUGAGAGAGGAAAGGAGUUUCAUCAGGAUGAAACUGUGUAUACACUGUUUCCAAGACUAUGAAACCUAUUGAAACUUGCAUUGGGGGCUAUAGAGUUUCAUUUCAUUUAACCAUAUCCAAUCACAUGCCUCACAAUUAAAUGUCAUGAGCAUCCUAUGAAAUCAUGAAAUGAAACUGUGCACUGAGACUUCCUGUUUCAUUCAUAAGAAUACACCUUAUGGGAUGAUGUGAUAUCCUUGGAAACAGUGCAAGACUUGCACUGGGACUGGCCUAAGCCGAUAGACGUACCCGCACUCCCGCAGGUGGUUUGCUGCCUGGCCGCACGGUAUUUUGGGCUGUUUGCCGCGUUAGACGUACCAGCAAGAAUUUUGUCGAGGCCCAUAAGGGCCAUCGGUCCAUUCCCAUAUGAGACUGUUUAAAGAAAGCCCACCCAACAUUACCUGGGCUCUAGGGCAGCUGAGAAAGUAGCACGCCGGAAGCACGUGAACGUCGAACCCUCUCGAGAGGCGGCGAGGCGAGGGUUUCACUUGAACCCACCAAAACUGAAACAAACCCUCGAAAGCUCGGAAGAUCCCGCGGCGCAGCACCCUCCUCUCCUCUCCACUCCCCCUCCCGUCGCCGCCUCCCCCGUCGCCGCCGUCGCGAGACCGCCAUGGCGCUGCACGCCCCCGUCCUCGUGCUGAGUAAGCGCUUCCGUCCCGUCCGAUCCCUCCUACUACGUCGUGCGCGCCGCCAUUUUUGUGCCCGGGUGGGCUGAUGUUUCCUUGCUCCUAGGUUUUAGUUUAGGCUCUUUUCGAGGUUGUUUGUGUCGAAACCCGCUUGAUCUUGCUGUUGGAAUCCGCGAUUCAGUUUGUUGGUUCGGGCGUUAGGGUUCUGUUUAAGCUGAUCUGAUCUAUCCCGUUUGGGUUUUGGUGAAAUUUGUCUGAUCUCUUUUAUGGUUUGAUUUGAGCAGAGGACUCGCUGAAGCGAGAGUCGGGAGCGAAGGUGCACCAGGCGAACAUCCAGGCUGCCAAGGUGAGGGCUUCUACGCCGCACUAGUUUGAUUAGUCCAGUGCAAGCAGUUCAUUCUAUUUUUGAUUUCCUAUUACCGUAGCGCUGCCCAUGUUAUUGGGGAAAAAACUUUCUUAGAGGACGUCCCCUCAUGUUGUACUAAUUGAUUUCCUAUUCAGUAUAGUUACAUGUUAGUAUUUGAUUUGCAGGCUGUGGCAGACAUCAUUCGCACUACACUGGGUCCCAGAUCUAUGUUGAAGAUGCUUCUUGAUGCCGGUGGAGGUGUGCCAAGAACUCAAAUCUAGUCUAUGCGUUGCAUUGUUUAUCAUUGAAAUUUUGAUUUGAUCACAAAUUUCAUGUAAACUGUUUUAUAUUAAAGAGGUUUUUGGGCACUGGGUAAUACGGCAAUAAAUUUUGUACUGGAUUGUGCUUGCUCCGAACCAAUUAUGUGGUGUGCAAUAUACUAGGUGUGCUAGUCCUUUUCCUGAACCCCUUGGUGGUUGAGCUCAGAUUCUAUGAAUUUUACGGAAUCACUGCUAUACCACAUAGAGUUGAACCUUUACACAUAUAAUAACCUCCGGCAGUGAAGUUAACCUGCUCCCAUGAACCUUGUCACCGCAAUGAGAACAUUUAAUUGUGAGUUUUGUAUAUACUUGCCUGUUAUUGGCUUGUACCUGUGUGAGAUGAAAUUGCUCUAGUUGCUGGUCAGUUAUGUAUGCCAUUUUGUUCUCCUAGAGAUAAUUCUAAUGAUCCUGUUUCCAAUUCUUUUGUUAAGAUAGUUUUUCCCACUUAUCCCAGCGAUGAUAGUUUUCCUCCAGAGAACUUACACUCCUGUUGCUGAAAAUUCAAAGUUGGCAUAUUAAUUGAAAACAACACAACUUGAUGUGUGCUGGGCAUGCAUACUUUCUGGAAAAAUUAUUUGUUUAUACAGUAGUAACUUUUGAGAACAGAAAUAUGUCAUGCCAUGGUGUAGUGAUGCCUCUUACUGUUUCAAUUGCCAUUGAACAGUAGUUAAAACUACAUCAAUUUGGUUAUUAGUAAAUUAUGCCACAUCUGAUGCUAGUCCCUUUUCCUUUUGUUUUAACAGUGUUAUCUUGGUUGUUUGUGCUUUUGCAGGUAUCGUGGUUACUAAUGACGGGAAUGCUAUAUUGAGGGAAAUAGACAUUGCACAUCCUGCUGCUAAGGUAUACCAUAUUCAGCAAUCAUUGUAUUUCUGUUCAAUGGAUAACUCAUGCUGCCACUCUUGUAUACCUAAUUGUGUUCCCUUGUGCAGUCUAUGAUUGAACUAAGCCGUACACAAGAUGAGGAAGUGGGUGAUGGCACAACCUCUGUGAUUGUUCUAGGUAUAUGUUUCAUCUGUCAGUUUUUUAGGCAGUUUUACUUUGAUAGUUAUGAUGGUUAUCGAUAUUAUCAUUCACCCGCAUUAAAUUUCUCAAUGCUAGCUGGUGAGAUGCUCCAUGUUGCUCAAGCAUUUAUUGACAAGAACUAUCAUCCUACUGUUAUUUGCCGAGGUAAGAUCCAUUAGUUCUCAGGGCUUCUGUUUACUGGAGUAGGACUUCUUUUUCGCUCUUGAUUUCUUAUCUGUUCUAACACGUAUUGCUCCAAAUUUCAGCAUACACCAAAGCGCUUGAUGAUGCUAUAGCUGUUCUUGACAAGAUAGCAAUGCCUGUCGAUGUGAAUGAUCGUAAGUUUACAUGGAACUUGUGGUUUCUCCUGAGUCCCAAAACCCUACAAACAUUAUACUGCUUAUCAGGGACAUGAUCCCUCUCCUCUUACAUGAUCAUUUGAUAACAUAAUAUAUAUUAAUGUCACUGUGAUAUACCAUUAUGUAGGCGUGUCAAUGCUAGGACUUGUGAAGAGCUCCAUUGGUACAAAAUUCACUGGCCAGUUUGGUGACCUUAUUGCUGUAAGUAUCUUUCUUCUGUGUGAAACUUAACAACCAGCUGUCUCCACCUUGUUUUUUUUUUUACUUUGUUCAGUUUAUGGAUUUUCUGACAUUAUGUUGCUUUGCUCAGGACCUUGCUAUCGAUGCUACUACAACAGCAGGCGUUGACCUAGGUCAGGGCAUGCGUGAAGUUGAUAUCAAGAAGUAUAUUAAAGUAGAAAAGGUUCCUGGUGGUCAGUUAGAGGAUUCUAGGGUCCUCAAAGGAGUUAUGAUCAAUAAGGAUGUUGUGGCUCCUGGUAAAAUGAGAAGGAAGAUAGUUAACCCACGUAUAAUCCUUCUGGACAGCCCUAUUGAGUAUAAGAAGGGAGAAAAUCAGACUAAUGCUGAGUUGAUGAAGGAAGAAGAUUGGUAAGAGAUUCCUACAUGUAACUUUUACUGCCAUGUAGACAUGAAUGCUGAAUCACAUCAGUCCUUUUGAACUUCAAUGGAUGCAUUAGUCCUAUGUUAUUUUAGUAAAAUGUUGAUGUGGAUUUGGCAAACUAUUAUUUAUUGCAGGCAGGUUCUGCUGGAGAUGGAGGAAGAGUACAUAAAGAACCUCUGUGCACAAAUUCUUAAAUUUAAGCCUGAUUUGGUCAUCACAGAGAAAGGGCUCAGUGAUCUUGCUAUUCAUUAUUUGAGCAAGGCUGGUGUUAGUGCAAUUCGUAGACUUCGAAAAACUGACAACAACAGAAUUGCUAAGGCUUGUGGAGCAGUUAUAGUGAACAGGCCUGAGGAGCUUCAAGAAUCUGAUGUGGGCACAGGAGCUGGCCUCUUCGAGGUCAAGAAGAUAGGCGAUGAAUUCUUUGCCUUCAUCGUUGAUUGUAAAGAUCCAAAGGCAUGCACUGUUCUGUUGAGGGGAGCAAGCAAGGAUGUCUUGAAUGAAGUUGAGAGGAACCUGCAGGUACCUUUUCCAUCUCCUUCCUUCUAUUAGUUGGCAGACACUUAUCCAUAUUAUGACCUCACCCAUCAACUCCCUUCAAAGUUUGGUUUUAACAUUUUGUUUCCUUUAUAAGACAGUAGGACCAUUUUGAUCAUCUAAGCAACCUAGACAUAUAAGUAGAUUAGAUUGCUCUCGUUGAGUACCAUGUUCUAAUGCCCCUUCUUAACUCCUUUUGCUGCAUGGUAUUUACUUUAGGCGAUGGUAAAUUCAUUUUUCAUUUCUCAAACAUGAAGUUCAUGUGUAGGCCAACAAGUUUAAGAUUAUGUUAUUGUCCUCUAAGAUGCCAUUUUUUAAUGCAGGAUGCCAUGUCUGUUGCGAGGAACAUUUUGAAGAACCCAAAACUCCUACCUGGAGGUGGUGCUACUGAAUUGACUGUAUCGGCAGCACUGAAGCAAAAGAGUUCUUCAGUUGAAGGUGUUGAAAAGGUAUUGUGUUAUUGUUGUUAGUUGCCUCUGUUGUAAGCCAUUAUAAUGCCAAUAGUGUGUAUUACUGUAUUUACAUAAAUUUCUGAGUGGGUGGCACAGGGAAAGCUUUCUGUUUUUUUGGUCUAACACCAGCUAGGCUUGAAUAUCUGAACUUUUUUUUCAUUUGUUUGUAUCAGUGGCCCUAUGAAGCUGCUGCUUUGGCAUUUGAAGCAAUUCCGAGAACAUUGGCCCAAAAUUGUGGUUUGAAUAUUAUUAGGACAAUGACUCAACUCCAAGGAAAGGUGAUUAUCCCUAAUCUCAUCUAAAUUGUGGGUUAACCUUCAUUUAUGUAUUGGACUUGGACCUAUAUUGGAAGUGCUCGACUUCUACCUAUCGUAGGGAUUAGCAUUUCCGAGCAAUGAAAAGAUUUGAGGCCAACAAUUCUUUUGUUAACUUUUAAAAUAACUUAGUCUUACAGUGGAUUUAAGCUUCAAGUCCAAAACAAACAUUUUCCAUCUUUUAGAUGUUUUUUAAUUAUAUAAAUAGAUGCAUUAGAUUUAUGAUACCAAUGGCUUUUGUUGCUUCAGCAUGCUAAUGGUGAAAAUGCCUGGGUUGGCCUUGAUGGAAGAAGUGGUGAAAUUGUUGACAUGAAAGAGCGAAAGGUACUUCUCUCCCUCCAUCUGCAUACAUGCCAAUUUACCCCAAUGUUUCUGUGCUUGUCUAAGCACCAGUGUGUUCUAUUUUUAGAUCUGGGACUCCUACAGUGUCAAAGCACAGACGUUCAAGACAGCUAUUGAGGCUGCUUGCAUGCUGUUGAGAAUCGAUGACAUUGUCAGCGGUAUCAAGAAGAAGCAGGCUCCUGGAGCCUCAGCUCCCAAGCAGCCCCAGAUUGAAACGGAAGGUGAUGCGGACAAUGAGCAGAUGAUCCCAGAGUAGAUGUUGUAGCGAACCCACACUGGCGAAGUUGUUUACUCAGGCCAGGAUAGCACGUUGAGCCAAGUUUAUUAUUUGAGUGUUUGUUGGUGGCUGGGCCUGGCAUGCAAAUGUACCUGAUUUCAUACAGUUGAGAGUGGUUCGUGGGUUUUGGGAUCCAGGUUUUGAAGUGUGGCUGCUGUUCAUCUUGUUUUGGACUUAGCUGGACGACUAUCAAGCAGCGAAACUAGUAGUUUUUGUGGCUAACUGUGUCUGUUGUAAUGACACAUGCUUUGGUUUGGUAAUGCUAUCGUUUCCCAUGCUGGUAACUCUGAUCAUUACAGCUUCGGGUAACUUGAUUAUGGGCGAUUGUUGCCAGAAUGCCAGAAGUCGUUGACUUGCGGGGGAUCCAGGCCGUAGCGAGUCCGGUGUGAACCGCGUGGUCACGUGGGGAAGAUGUGUCGAAGAGGAAGAAAGAAGAUGCAUAGUGAGCGCUUAAAGCCCAAAAGUCCAAAAUCCUUGGAGCGACUUCAAAUUUGCUUUAUUUGUAUUUAGCCUAAGAUUACGUUAGGUCCUACCAUUUCUCAAGCAGAUCGUUAAAUAAAUACAUUUCUGGCUUCCAUCUACUCCCUCCGUUCUAAAUUGCGAUCGUUUUGACUUUUCUAUAUGUAUACAUCUAAAUACAGUAUAUGUUACGACCGAAUGCAUCCGUAAUCUCCGUUUAUACAAAUAAGGAGGAAAUCUUUGCUUUGAUUUUCGUAUGAUCUCACGCUGAACUGAAGCAUAAACUCCAACUGAAAAAAGAACAAAAUUUCAAUAAAGACCCUUACCUUCCUCAACUCUUCCAACGACCCCCACUACGAAAUCGAAACGGCGAAACACAAAACCCACGCGAAGAACCCGAGGAAGCGCCCCCACGCCACCGCGAUCCCCCUCCCCGAAUUCCCCACCCCGCCAUGCCCGACUCCGCCGAUCCCCUCACCUCGCUGGAUCCGGACAUGCCGCCGCGGAAGCCCCUUGCCCCCGGUGGCGGCAAGCUCAAGAAGCCCCUCACCGAGAAGCAGCGCGCCGCCGCGGAGCAGCGCCUGGCCCACCUCCGCGCCCACCUCCUCCUCCGCCCCCUCGAAUCCCCCGCUGCCGGGGCCCGGGCCCUAACGCCGCCCCACGAGGCGGCCCUCCGCGCGCUCGGCCUCCUGGACUUCGCCCGCCUCGACCUGCACUCCGACGCGCCGCGCCCCGACCUCGUCGCACCGCUCGUCGCCUACUACGACCCGGCCUGCAAGCGCAGCUUCGUCCGCGGCGUCCGCGUUGCCGUCUCCCGGCACGAGCUCGCCCGCGCGCUCUCCCUCCCGCCGAAGCCCGCCUCCGCGGCGGCGGCACCGCCGGAUGUGGACCCCGCCGCGGUGGCGCCCGCGGUCAUGCAGCUUCUGCAGGAUUACGUCCUUCUCCCUUUCCAGGGCGACGACAUGUGCAUACUGCCGCAGGAGGUGGCCGCCGCGGAGCAGGCAGUCAGGGAGGGGUCAGCGCAUAGGGUUGACUGGGCGGGUCUGAUCUGGGGCCUCGUGGAGAAAGAGUUGCUUGAGCUGCCCAAGAGGGACGAUGGGGUUUGCUACUUCGGGCUGCAUCUGCAAAGGCUCAUUUGGGCGCAGAAGCCGAACCUGUUUGAGGCGGUGGAUGGUGGGGAGAGAGGGGAGGCCGUCCCAGAGGCGUCUGUGGAUGGAGAUAUGGAGAUGGGCCAGGAGGAUGGGGAUGAGGAUGCUGAUACUGAUGUGAAAAGCAAGAGCUUGGAGGAGCUGGAGCUGGGGGAUGGAGAGGCAGAUGCAGAUAUGGAUGUGAGAGGCAAGAGCUUGGAGGAGUCGGAAUUGGGAAAUGCUGAUGUGAGGAGUGCGGGCUUGGACGAGAUGGAGUUGGGGGAUCUUGUUACAAGGAACAAGGUCUUGGAGGAGUUGGGUCUGGGUGAUGCGGAUGCCAGGAACAACAUAGAGGAAUUGGAGGUGGUCGAUGAAGAUGCAAGGGGAAAAAGCUUGGAUAAAUCUGAGGCUGUUGAUGAGGAUGUGAGGAGCAAGAGCUUAGAUGAACCGGAGGCAGUGGAUGAGGAUGGGAGGGGCAAGAACUUAGAUGAAUUGGAGGCGGUGGAUGAGGAUGAUAAGGGUACAAGCUUGGAUGAAUCAGGGAUGAUUGAUGGGCAUGUAAAUGGCACAAACAUGGAUGGUUCGGGUUUGGGAUUUGUGGCAGUUGAAGCGGUGUCUGCUGAGGCGAUGCCUGACGACAAAGAGGAUGCGGGAGAUGCAGAACCAGCAGAGGGUGAUGAUGUGGCAGGGGCUUCAGAAGAAGACGGUGAAGAGCCCUUGGUGGAGACAGUAGUUGUGACACAGGAGGAAGUGGUGGCUGUAGCAGAGGAGGUGGGAGAUGAGGAGGCUGAUGGGGAGGAAGAGAGCGAUGCGAUGGGGUUGAGCUUGGGUUUUAAUUCUACAAACGGUUAUGAUAGUAUGGAUGUGGAAGAGGAAACACAUAUUGAAAAUCUGGAUGAAGGAGACAGUGACAAUGAAGACGCGGAGGAGUCAGAGGAUGAUGGAUUUGAGGGGGUUAAUGGUGGAAAGGACAUGAGUUGGAGAAUUGGGGACGACAGUGGGGAUGGCAACGAGGACGAGGAAAUGACACACUCCUUACAGCGCUGUAAUACAUUUGGGGGAAUGGAGUUUGAGAACUUGAAUAAAGGGGAGGCCGAGAUGAGGGAUGAGCUGGGGUUUGAUGAUUUCUCUGGAAGGGGAUCUUUGGAAAGGAUGACAUCGUCAAACCUCCUCCAGGCUAUGAACUCAAUUCCCUCAUCGUACAACAUAACAGAGAAUGUGCAUGGCCUAUCUGGGGAAUUCUUGUCUAUGGGGGCUGAUGCACAUAAGAAUGGAGUGGACUUGGAACCAGGAAGCUCAUAUUUAUUUGGGAAUAAUGGUAAGAGGCAAAUUGGUGAUAUUGAUGGGUACAAUGGCAAUCUGCAGGCACAAGAACAGUUUCCUCAGUGCAACCAGCAAAAGAGGAUGCGGCAUAGCAACAGUAGCAGCAUAUCACCUGGAUCAGGCUUUUUUAAUGCAAACUUUUCGGUACCUAUACAGAACUUGAUGGUUGAGGCAAGCAGGCUCUAUGAGCAGAAGGAGCAAGAACUUCAAAAUUUGCAGUUUGAGAAACAACAUUGGUCUGACAUGCUGCAGCAGAAAGACGCGAUUAUCCAAACCCUAAACUCCACUCGGUUUGAGCAACAGAAUAAGUAUCAAGCGGAGCUUAGACGCUUUGAGCAUGAUCUGAAUGUUAUGGCCCAGUUGGUCACUGGCUACAAAAAAGCUUUGAAACAGACCCAGGCUUCUUUUGAAGAGUACAGGAAGAAGUUCCCUUGUAACAAGCCUCUUUAUGGCGAUGUUACUGGUGGUGGGGGUCUUGUUCUUAGUGUGAGUGAGUUGGAGAGAAUGCAGUUUGAGGAGGAGCGGCAAAAACUUGCUGCGGCAAAUGCAAUGAUUGAAAAAUUCCAGAACGAAUGGUUCUUAAAGCUUGACGAGUGGACCCUCUCUGUCAACUCACUGUGGAGCAGAAUGGAAGGACUGUAUAAGGAGAUUGAUCUUCUCAAGGAAUACAGAAGAGCAAGAUUUGCUACCCCAUCUACAGAGGAAUGAGUUUCCUGACAGUCAGAGGUAUGUGGAUUAGCAUAUAAAAGCAGUCUAUUGUAAUAUUACUAAUAUGAAGAAAUGAUAUGGUCUAGAGAAUGCCAUGUUUUCUUAUGGUUUGGAACUUUGGAUUGGGUGCUUAUCUACUGUUUUUUCCAUAGAGUAUGACUAUAUGACCAUUGCAUUUGAAUAGGUAUAAUGCUUUUGAAGAAUUUACUACCAUUUUUAGCAAUUAUUUUAAUGAAUAUAUGGAUGAAAAUAGGACAGAUAAACAUAGUAACCUGCUUUAGAAUGCAGUAUUAACUACUUGCCUUGGCAAAUUUCCUAUUGAACUGCUACACCCUGGAAUCACCAGAGGCAUAUUAUAUCUCCUUUUGUUUUGGAUUGUUAGCAACCAUCUUUGGUAAAUAUUAUAUGAUGGUUUUCAGGUCUACAGAUCAAACUUGGCUGAGUAUAUGUUAUGCUAUAAUAUUUUAAUAGUAUCCUUGAUAGGUGAACGCUUUGUUAAAUCACAUGUCAGGUUAGUUGGGUUCAUGCCAGGAAUAUAUAGCUAUAAACCUGGAUGUUCUAGUAAAUCAACAGAAUGUGUAGUCUUGCUAUAAGGUUAUAAUAGCUUCUAAUGCCAUAAUCAUCAUUUAUUUGCUCAUUCAUUUCUGAUGAAUAAGGCACAAGUCAGCAUAUGGUCUGUACAUUGAAUACUUAAUCUGUAGAGAACUUAUGAUUCAGUCUGGUAGGUGAUAGCAAUUGUGACUAAUGAAAUUCUGCUAUCCCAGUUCUAUAUUUUAACUAGAUGUCUGGAACUAACGGGGUUGAGCUUGAUCCCUGGUCAUGCAAAUAUGAAUACAAAUUGAGCUUGCACAUUAUGUUUGGAUGCAAAGUAUUUUUGGAGUAUUGGACAAAUACUAUGGUUUUCCAAAAUACUUAAGUUUUUGAAAGGUGAUGGGUGUUUGGAUGCAACAAAGUUUCUUGUUUUAAAGACCGUGGUAUUGUGAAAACCAGUCUUUUUGGAGUUUCAAAAAUUCCAUUCGAGACCUUUUUUUCUAAACCACAGUUUUGCAUAUCUUAGGCUUAUAAAAGUACAGUUUCCUGAUACUAUAGUUUUCUAAAACUACAACAUCCAAACAGGCCCUAAGCCACAUAAAGAAGUUAUAGUGGGCGGGCCAUUUGGUUGACCUUAUGAUACCUGUUCAAACUUCAAACAUUAAGCGUUUCCAUAGCCCGGUUAGACUUGGUUGGUCAUAGGUUGUGAUUGGGAAGGAAAUGGUUAGGCAUGGGUUUGCACCAGGCUUGGGCUAGGUUUAUGACAGAUCUAUUGGUAUCAUUUUGAAAUGGUAGUCUGGAUAUAUUUGCUCACAUUGGUUGUCAAUGUUUAAAAUGUCUGUCCAAAAUGAUUUUUGAUAUGGAGUGACAUAAUUUUUUUUACUCCAUGUGGAAAUGUGGCCUUAUGGAUGUUGCAUUACUUGUGUCCAGUUUGAUGUCAGUAAGUCAGUGUUAAAUUAAAUUACAAUGCAUGAUGUCAGUACCCCAUGAAUAUUUUAGAGCUUGUUUGGUAGAGCUCCAUCUGAUUCUGAUUCUCUAUGGGGAGCUGAUUUUCUGAGAGAAGUUAUUCUGUGGCUGCAAGUGAUUCUCUUUGAUUCUCUAGCAUAAACACUUAAAAUCAGGAUGAAGAAUCACUUCACAAAAUCAAGAGAAGCUACUUUUUUCAGCUCCCAGCCUCUUAGUUCAUUUCAGAGAAUCUCUGAGAGAAGUUAUUCUGUGGCUGAAAGUGAUUCUCUUUGAUUCUCUAGCAUAAACACUUGAAAUCAGGAUGGAGAAUCACUUCACAAAAUCAGGAGAAGCUACUUUUUUCAGCUCCCAGCCUCUUAGUUCAUUUCAGAGAAUCACUUCACAGAAUCAGCAGAGAAUCACUUCUCUCUGAAAAACUGUUUGGCAGAGUUCCUGCUGGAUUCAGCAGAGAAUCAGCUCUGGGAGUUCUGCCAAACGCACCCUUAAAGACAAUUUAUGUUAGUUUCAACAUGAGUGUUAGAUUAUUUACUUGAAGAUUUAAAUUGCAAUGCAUGGGUGGCUAGUUUUCGCCGUUGAAUUCAAGGUUGAAAUUGUUUGGGAACCAUAAUCUGGGAAGAACCUGUACCCGAAAUAACAGCUGAUUAAUUAGCAGAAAAAAUCACAAACAGCUGAUUGACAAGUUUCUAAAUGAUAUUGUUGAGUGAUGUUCUUAGUUCAAAGUAACUGUAGUUUGAUAAGGAUCUUUUGUGCUCAUUGAUAAAUUUCUUUAGCUGUCAAAAUUACAUAUUAAUAUUAGUCCCCAAGUUCAAAUUUAAAACAUGUACUAUGCAGGCACAUACAUUGCUGGUUCCAUUUCUUAAAACUGUAUGUGUAUGCCUUUGUUAUGUAAAAUUGUACUAUUGUACUAGGUGUCUUCGAGUAAUUACUGAUUCAUUUAAAACUAAGGGUAAAACUUUGAUCUUAAAGAUGAGAUACAAUGGUUUUUUGUUUUGGAAUAAAGGAGUAGUCAUUGGAUGAGCAGGCCCUCUGGCAGGGGUGGAUCCAGGACUCGGGCUGGGUGGGCUGCGGCCCAGGUCCAGCCCCUAUAGCCCCCUUUGCACAACCAUGUUAGAGACUGUAAAUUCAACUGUACGCCUGUGAUAUCUCUCAGGCAAAAAGACCCAGCAGACCAAUACCAGGCUAGUUCAUGAAAUGCUUUGUCCGCUGGCUAUUGCCUUCAUAAAUUGAUCUUUUUGCAUGGACACUGAUCACAGGAUACACUAGUUCAGCCCGGGUCAGAGCUGAUUUCUGGGUCCGUCCCUGCCCUCUGGGAUUCAAGUUUCUGUCUUGUUCUUGCAAUAGCAAUCGGUCAGAUAUGGCCUGUUUCUUAGGACCAGCUGGGGCCCUAAAAUUUUGGGAGGGUUUGUAGGAGUGCUCAGUUUUUAGUUUGCAGCUAUCUGCGGAAGCAUAUCACAGCAUACAACUUAGUAAUUUAUACUUUCAUUUUGUGUUUUGGAAGUUUUCUCUUGCUAGAAUUGUAAUUCAACUAGCGGGUAGGCAUGAGGUGCAUAGAGCUCAGAAUUUUGUAUACUCAACUUCUAUACUCCUUUGUGCUCAAGUUUGGUGUAAUAUGUUAAGGUUGUAUACAAACAAGCACGAGAUCACCUACUUUAAUAUUGGCUUCUUAUCUUACCCUUGGUGUUGUAUCGGAAUAUGUGCUUUCUGGUUAUUCUCUUUUUGUUGGAUAGCAUUUUGCAUGAGCUGAAAAAUCUCCCAUUGUUUUUAUCAGGUUCACCAUUGUGUGAAGAUGGCCCCUAGCUACUACCUUGCCCCUCUGCUAGAAGUUUUGAUGCCAACGAGAACACACCAGCAGUUGUGGCCUACCUGGUGGUACAUACUGUAGUAAAGAUAAAUGAUUUCGCAUGUAACCUGGAUGUAUCCUCAUAUGGGGACGUUUUGAUGAUUAGUGCUUAAUUUAGAUGCAUUUAGGGGUUCUUAAUCUAUAUCAAAGUGUGCAUUCUUAUCCUCUGUUUGCAUUUUGAAUUCCUGAUUGUGCAUUAACGGUGUAAUAUAGGCCCUCGGGUGCGAAGAGUGCUGGUUGGUGGAACCACUUCAGCUUGAUUGCAGGUAGUAUUAACUUCUACACUUCCGUGGGCGGAUGCUUGAAGGAUGCCAAGGGUAAUUUUACUACCUUACUAAUGCUUGGAUUUAUAAAGAUGGUGACUUGUGGUGCUGCAUUAGACCGAACAAUUUUCAGAGGUGUCCGGUUUGAUGGACCUGAACCAUCGAGUAGGCCUUGAGAAAAGAAAUGCAAGGCACCUGGCAAGCAUUUGCAUUGUCCGGUUUUAUUCUCCUGUGGGUUAUGGAUACAAUACAUGUAUCACUGGACUGUCUAUAUGAGAGGCUGCAAGAGAGCAGUGCUAUUGCUGGAGAAACUGAUUAACAUUCUUGCACGGAUCAAAGAGCUUCGAGAACCAGAUGGAUAAGGUGUAUGCGUAGAGGUUUAUUUGUACCAAGAGUCCAUGACGAAGAGCUAAUCAACUCAUAGCUUACAAUUCUUGGCCUUGUCUGUCUUGAUUUUGAUGUCUUCUGUCAGCCAUUAUAUUUCGUGGAGGGGCAGGGGCAAGGGUCAGCAAGAGCACAACACAAGCUUCGUUGAAAAGAGAGAACAGCAAAGGAAGCUUGCCAUGGAUGCAGUUGGUUCAGUUGCCACUUCAUCUGGAGAUCAAUUGGAUCUUCGUGGAGGCUAACUGAUAUGACGGUUGCUUCUGCCACAGGUAUGGACCUGAGUUUCGUCUAGAAAAUAUGCUCGGAUUCUCAUCUGAUAAUUGACGUUAUAGUCAUGUACAUGUCGGGUUCGGCAUGUGCUCCUCUCCUAUGGAGACGUCACCUCGAGCAAGUUUGUGAAAAGGAAAGUACAAGUCCUCACACAGGCACGCCUCUAUCUCAAGAUGGCCUGCACUUUUGUGGCAGGUGUAGUAGGCCUUGCCUAACGUUCCAAAUGACCAAGCCAAACGUCUUUUCAGCCAAGGACAGGACAUUGGAAUCUCUGCCUGGGCAUACGGCUGCUGUACUCUUGUUUGGUGCGUUCACGCAAAAAUGUCAAUGUAUUACAAGGUGGGGCUAAUCAAGGAGCCCAUAGUUUUCUUACACGACAUUGGCACUGGGCGCGACAACAGCAGGAUUAAGGAAGAGAAAAUGUCAAUGUAUUAGAAGGUGCUAAUUAAGAGAGAAAGAAAACCUGAACAGGUAGUUGUACCGAACGAUCAAAACCUGAACUUGAAUAAAAGGGACAACCUAAUUGAAAUGAAGGUAUCUCCUCGCAAAGAAAUGAAGGGAUCAACCCGGCCAUAACGAAGGCAGCAUCCAUCUGUUAACGCAUUAGGAACUAAUAGUCGGUGAGGGGACGCAGAAGAAGCAGGAGAAAGAUUUCAAUAGAUUGACAAAGUUCAGCUGAGAGAUCGUGCAUUCAGAGUUUCAGAUAUGAAAUCAUAGACUUGUGCAGACCUUUUCCAUCCUGUGUGUUUGAUCACAUGGACUGAGAGACCUUAGGGGACGAAAUCAAUUUCAUCAAACACUUACUGAUAAGACGUCACUAGUGUUCCAGUCAGCUCCUUGGCCUCCUCUGGAAGGCUCAAUUCAUUUGACUUAACUGGUGUAUUGGCAAGUUUUUGUUUAUAUUUGUUUGAAGGAGAUUUGCUUAUAUUUUUCUCCACGUUAGUCCUAAUCCCGUGCUGUUCGUGUAUAAUUUAUAAGAUUCAUAUAUCUGCUUAAAAAUGAUCUCUUGCGAACAUUCCUACUCACCUGUGUUAUUAGCACGCCAUGGCCAUUACUUAGUACAACUCGGCUAGUGUCACACCCGGUUUCUGGAUAAAACCGAAUGCAUCACAUAUGUGUGCCAGGAUCCGUUCUCACACAUAUGUUGACGUCAUCAGUGAAUACAUCAAAGAUAGUGCUCAAAAACGUACAUAAACCAAUAGGAACUUUAUUACACUCAACGCGAUAGACACGAAGGUCUUUAAUCGUUCACCGAUAACUUAACACGCACACACACACAACGUAGCUUCUCCACAGGCUUGACUGGUGGACCGCCUGCCUAGAACUCCUCGAAGUCGUCGAAGAACUCCCCGUCAUCACAAGCUUCUGAACAGUGUUUGGGCAAGGGUGAGUACACUUAUGGUUGGUACUCAGCAGGUUGGGGAAACAUGCAAGGCUCACAAGGAAUGGCUCAAGGCUUUAAGCGGUUAGCGUUUUAAUUGGUCAAAUUUUUAUUAGCAACACCUAAUUACUAGAUGUAAGUUUAUACCAACCCAAUUAAGCAUAUAACAUUAACAUAACCCAAAGGUAAAGGUAACACAGAUUAAUCUCAUCUUUAAGUUCAAUUAUCAUGUGAGGGUCCAAGCCGCUCUUAACCGUGAGCACGGCUGAUAUAUCAGUUUUCACUCUGCAGAGGUCGUACACUUUACCCACAACUCGUGGUCCCCCGUGUCACCCGGGUUUGCAAAGCCCUUAAACACUUCCUUUGGUGAGUGGCUGGGGUCCACUACGAAGCCUUUACAAAGACACGCAGAUAACUGGUAGCCCGCUAGAGUUUCAGUAGCGAUGCGGACCACAACCCGUUAAUGAGACAGCAGCUUAGCGAAGGCUACUGCUCCGGAUCGUGCACCCAACACCUUCCCCCUGCUUGCCCUUUCGGUAAAGCCACCAGCUAACUACAUGCCUAAUUAUUCGGCUAAGAUCAGAGCCAUAUGAUGUUGUGGUUGUACUGUUUUCUUGGGUGGUUCUCCAUGUUCCGAUUAAAUCAAGUGUUCUUGUAAUUAAACAUGUAUAGCAACAUAAAUAAAGCAUGAUUAACAUAUUUCAUGAUUAGCACAUUACCAACCCAAUUUAAGCGACUAGCAAGUCUACCCAACAUGAUUAAACAGGUUUUCAAGGAAUAAGGAUUAAAACUAGGUAAGUCCUUAAUAGGCAUUCCCGUCAAACUUAUGCACAUACAAGAAAUAAGUAAAGUGCUUAAUCAUGAUAUUAUUGGGACAAAAAGAACAUGCAGAGGGAGAAGGCCACUUGCCUUCCUCGGCAAACUGGGAGUACUCUUCUUCGAACGGUGGCUGCUCUUGGACUUGCUCCUCCGCGAACGUCACGUCGUCUACACGAUCACACAAGGCAAACAAAUAAAGAAUGAUUAAAACAGUACAACAAACAUAUGCAAAGGCUUACAACAAACUCCUAAAUCUAACGUUCAUGCAGAGACGAUCGCGUGAGCGCGAGGAUCGCUGAAAUCGGAUUUAAAACGAAGAAGAUAUGAGAUAAACAAGUUUCAGGGGCUAAAAUAGAAUUAACUAUAUACUUCAGGGGCUAGCAUGUUUUAGAAAGAUAUACUGAACAUGCAAAAACAGAGAAACAUAGGGUUAGAUCUACAAAAUGACAUGGCUCGGGUUAAAAUAAAAGAAUACAGGAACUUCAGGGACUUCUCUGGAAAAUUUACAAGACACAAGAAUUAAGUAAAAGGAAUAACAGAGAGUUCAGGGACUAGAUUGCAAAAACUCCAUCUUCUUCCUCCAACAGGCAACCAAGCACACAGAGGCAUGGCCGACGGGGAGGGGGUCUCGCCGGCGUGGGCGGAGGCCUCGCCGGCGGCGAGCUCGCCGGCGCGCGGGCGGCGGCGCCUCGGUGGGGGAGAGGAGGGAGAGAGGGAGGGAAAGGAAGGAGAGAGCUCUCACUGGAGAAGAACAGAAACUUCACCGGCGACAGUACGGGCGGCGGCGCGGCGGUGCGAGAGAGUGGCGGGUGAGUAGCAAAACGGAAAGAGAAACUCCGGGCGAGGUCGAUGGUGACCUUUAUAGGCCCCGGGGAGGAGCGGAAGGGGCUCCCGGGAGAGAUCGAAGGUCGGCCGGCCAUUAAUGGCUUUCAAGCUUGUGCGGCCGUUUCCGGGGAGAGGAAAGGAUGGGGCGAUGGUUUGAGGCCGGGAGUGGGGGAGGGGAGACGUCGCGAGGUCGUGGAGGGGCUCGGGAGGCCGAGGGACGCCGGGAGGCGAGGGGGCCUCGGCCGGCGGCACACAGGGCGGCGCACAUCACCCGUGCGUGUGUUUCUGGUGCUCCACGCGCCUGGAGGUAGGAGAUGAAGGGGUAGCAGGUUGGUUGGGCCAGCUUGGGCCGGCUGGUGGGGAGGAAAGGAGAGGGGAGGUGGUGGCCCAAGAGGAAAAGGAAGGGGAGAUGGGCCUGCGCAGGGAGAAAAGGAGAGGGGAAAAAAAAGAUGGGCCGGCGGGGUAGAUUAGGCCCAUGCAGUUGGGAGGGGGAAGGAAAAAAAAUGCCUUGCGGGCUGAAAGAGAGAGAGGAGGAAUUUCGGCCUAAGGAGAGGAAAGAGAGGUGGAGGGUUUUGAAAAUUUAAAUAGAGUUGAAGUUUUCAAAAUCCAAUUCAAAUUCUUUUGAAAUUCAAAAGCAAGCAUUCAAACAAAAGCCAAAAUAAAAGAGAAAAGAAAAACUCUACCAAGCACUUAUUGCUUCUAAAAUUAUUUCAAAUGCUCUUUAAUUAUUUGAAUACCGUAAUUUAAUUAAAGUAAUUUAUUUAAUCCUUAGGGUACGAAAAACUAGACCGAGUUGCUUACAUUGCAUUGUGAUGGAAUUUUGGGUGUUACAAAUCCUACCCCCCUUAAAGAGAAUCUCAUCCUUGAGAUUCGGAGAGAUUGGAAAACAACUGGGGAAACUCUUCAAUAAGCUCGUCUUCUCUUUCCCAGGUGGCCUCAUCUUCGGAGUGGUGACUCCACUGUACUUUGCACAUUUUGAUCACUUUACUCCGAGUGACUCUCUGAGAUGUUUCCAAUAUCUUGACAGGAUACUCCGAGUAGGUCAAAUCAUCCUUCACAUUAAGAUCUUCCAGUGGUAGCUGUUCUUCGGGUACUUUAAGACACUUCUUUAACUGAGAAACAUGAAACACAUCAUGAACAUCCGAUAAUUGAGCAGGUAGGUCUAACUGAUAUGCCACUUCUCCUUUUCUUUCCAGAAUUUGAAACGGACCAAUGUAUCGUGGUGAUAGUUUCCCUUUAACCUUGAAUCGUCAAAGACCUCUCAUAGGCGAUACCUUAAGAUACACGUAAUCUCCGACUUCAAACGUCAGUUCCCUUCUCCGAGUAUCAGCAUAACUCUUUUGUCGCGACUGUGCAGUCUUGAGAUUAUCUCGAAUUAUUUGAACUUGUCUUUCAGCUUCUUUAAGAAUUUCUGGUCCAAAAACCUGACUUUCUCCUGUCUGACUCCAGUAUAAUAGUGUUCUACACUUUCUUCCGUAUAACGCUUCAAACGGGGCCAUCUUAAGACUGGCUUGAUAACUGUUGUUAUAAGAGAAUUCUGCAUACGGCAAACUCUUAUCCCAACUACCUCCAUGCUUUAAAGCACAAGCUCUUAACAUAUCCUCUAAGAUUUGAUUGAUUCUCUCAGUUUGACCGUCUGUUUGCGGAUGAUAUGCGGAACUGAAAUUAAGCUUUGUAUCCAUUGAUUCAUGCAACUUCUGCUAGAAACGUGAUAUGAAUUGAGUACCUCGAUCAGAUACUAUUUUCUUCAUAACACCAUGUAAACAUACAAUCCUUGACAUAUACAACCCCGCUAACUUAGCUCCAUUAUAGGUUGUCUUAACUGGUAUGAAAUGAGCAACUUUAGUCAAUCUGUCCACAACAACCCAUAUAGAAUCAUAACCAUCGCGAGUGCGAGGUAACCCAACGAUGAAAUCCAUUCCGAUCUCUUCCCAUUUCCACUCUGGUACCUUCAGUGGUUGAAGUAAACCUGCUGGUCUUUGGUGCUCUGCUUUUACUCUCUGACAUACAUCACACAAAGCAACGUGGGUUGCCACAUCCCCUUUUUAAACCAUACCACCAAUAUUUCUCCUUCAAAUCCUGAUACAUCUUAGUACUACCAGGGUGUAUGGAAUAAGCUGAAUCGUGUGCUUCCUUCAAUAUAUGUUCACGAAGAUGGUCGGCCUCCGGUACACAGAUCCUUUUCUUGAACCAAAUAGUUCCCUGAUCAUCUUCAGUGAAAUCUGGGGCUUUUCCUAACCCAAUUAGAGUCUUGAUUUCCUUGAUUUUAGCAUCUGUCAAUUGUCCUUUUCUUAUCUCUUUUUCAAGUGUAGGCUCAAUUUCCAUAGUCACGGCUUCAGUAUGUGCAACAAUUCCUAAGUUGAGUCGCUCCAUUUCUCAACAUAACUCUUGAGAUAUCAAUCGUGCUAUAGUCACAUUAGCUUGACCUUUUCGACUUAAAGCGUCUGCUACGACAUUUGCUUUGCCGGGAUGAUACUGAAUAUCCAAGUCAUAGUCCUUGAUCAACUCUAACCAUCUGCACUGCCUUAGAUUAAGAUCUCUCUAAGUGAAGAUGUACUUUAGGCUUUUGUGGUCGGUGAAGAUCUGACACUUGUUCCCGAUCAUGUAAUGUCUCCAAAUUUUUAAUGCAUGCACAACGGCAGCUAAUUCCAAGUCAUGAGUCGGAUAAUUUUGCUCGUGCUUUCUCAAUUGUCUUGAGGCAUAAGCCACUACUCUACCUUCUUGCAUCAAUACACAUCCAAGUCCUAGACGCGAAGCAUCACAAUAAACAUCGAAGCCUUUGUGUAUAUCCGGCAUUAUCAGUACAGGAGCUGUAGUCAAUUUCUCCCUCAGUUCUUCAAAACUUGCUUGGCACUUGUCAUCCAAUUUAAACUAUUUUCCUUUUUCUAACAAUGACGUGAGAGGUUUGACAAUCUUUGAGAAACCUUCAAUAAAUCUGUGGUAAUAACCUGCUAAUCCAAGAAAACUUCUGAUUUCGGACACAUUCUUGGGUGGAUUCCAAUUCAGCACAUCUUGAACUUUGCUUGGGUCUACUGUGAUUCCUCCGUCGAUGAUAACAUAUCCAAGAAAGGAAACUUCCUUUAACCAAAACUCACACUUACUCAACUUGGCAUAUAGUUGAUUCUCCCGAAGCUUAUGUAACACUAAUCUUAAGUGCUCUUCAUGCUCUUCUUCAUUUCGAGAAAAUACCAAGAUAUCAUCGAUGAACACUACCACAAACUUGUCUAGGUACUCCAUAAACACCUUGUUCAUCAAGUACAGGAAGUAUGCCGGCGCGUUCGUCAAUCCAAAUGACAUCACGGUAUACUCAUAUAGGCCGUAUCUGGAUGUAAAUGCUGUCUUGGGAAUGUCUUCCGCUCGGAUCUUCAACUGGUGAUAACCUGAUCGCAGAUCAAUUUUGGAAAAUACUUUUGCACCUCUCAUCUGAUCAAACAGAUCUUCAAUCCUAGGGAGUGGAUACUUAUUUUUAAUGGUCACAUCAUUAAGAGCUCUAUAGUCCACGCACAUUCUUCUGGUGCCAUCCUUUUUAUCAACAAAAAGUACGGGUGCUCCCCAAGGCGAAGAGCUAGGUCGGAUAUAGCCUUUACUUUCUAAUUCUUCUAUUUGUUUCUUUAACUCAACCAAGUCUUUAACAUCCAUUCUAUAAGGUCUUUUAGAUAUGGGUGAUGUGCUGGGUAAAAGAUCAAUAGAGAACUCAAUAUCUCGGUCAGGUGGCAUACCUGGUAAAUCUUCAGGAAAGACGUCGGGGUAUUCACUUGCAACCUUGAUAUCUUCCAAGGACUUUCCUUUUAUCUGAUUCACUAAACACUUCUCUUCUGAUGGGGCGGUAGCUGUAAACUCAAUUCUAUCUCCUUGAGGGCUAGUUAACAGCAAUGAUGAAGCGUCCCCACAUAAGUAGAGACUAAAUGUGAUCCAAUUUAUCAGUCCCAGGAGGCUGAUAACACAUUUAUUCAACAGAUAGUUCAGAAACCGUACAACUCCCGAAGGAGCGGGCGGGCAAGCCACACCCAAAGCAAGACUAAAGCGAUAACAAUACAAAUCCAAGUUGCAGUCCAGUCGGACUUCGGGCUGCAAUCGGAACUAAGCGUCAGCGGAAGCAUCCUGCGAAAGGGCCAACACCGCAGGCAGCGUUGGGUGCAGACGCAGCCUCCUACUCGAAGUCCUCGGCGACGAAGUCCGGAUCCUCCUCUGAAGUAACAACACAAGGGUGAGUACAAAGGUACUCAGCAAGUCCAACCCCAUCCACGGAGGGGGAUACAACAAGAAUAUGCAUAUGAGUAAUCAAGGAUAAAGCUGUGGUUUAUUUGCAGUAAAGCUGAAUUUUAGACACAUGCAGGGUUUUAUUUCAAAGAAGUUUCAUGAAAACACUUUAGUAAACGAUAUAUCAAGUGGGGUUGAUCCUACACAAAGGAUCCAAGUUUUAUUGCUACCGGACUCCCCGUCCGCCGUAGCGCACGGCACACCUGCCGGACACUUCCAAAAUUCCACUUACCCACACACGCAGUAAAAUACCAGUCAUCCCCAAAAGCUAGUUGUGUGACCGAGCCGUAACUCGUCCAAUGCCGUGGACACGGCUACCUGGAUAGGUUUUAACUCUGCAGAGGUUGUACACUUUUCCCACAAGUAGGGUACCGUAUCGCGAUCACCUUAGUGACGGUACGGAUCCUAACAAAGCCAUUACCCACCUUAGCCAACACUGACUAGUCAACACGGAAGCACCCAAGGGGUUAGCAACCCAUCCACGGGGCCGAAACCGGGACCUAAGUCAUCAAGAGCUUAGUCCUUUUCCAAGGGCUCCCGCUGCUCACCAGCACACCUGAAGCCUAGCAGUUUAGCUAGAGGGGUUUAUGCUAAGCCGUUGCCCAUACAACGGUCGAGUGGUUGCACGAUGAUGGAAUUAGGCAGGAUGACACAUCAACUCGGUCCUUAGUCAUGACAAGAUGGAUAUCUCCCAUUCUGCUCAACCACUAAGGUACGAGCCCAACAACCCGGCAUUCCACACAAGAAACGCCCAUCCAUCUCAUCCACCACCUUUCUUUACACCCGAAAACCCAACUCCUUAGUUAAACAUACUCACACAUUUAUUUUCCGAAUAAACAGGUGAAGUCAUGUUUGAAUUUGGAUAAUGAGUCCCUAAGCAUUCUAGCAGUGUUUAUCAUCUAAACAGAGCAACUCAUAUUUAGAGAUAAAUAUGGGACAACAAGGAAUAGUCAUAACAAUCAAGGGGUGGCUAUCCAACCAUGUCUUGCGAUAAAACAAUAUGCAUUUUAUAAAACAGGCCAAUAGGUUGUGUCUGAAAAACUGGGUAUUAAAUAUGCAUCAAAGGGUGAGAUUGGACUUGCCGUUCUCAAAGCCUUCCGGGAGCUCCUGCUCGCGGUACUGGUCCUCGAGCUCGGGCUCGCGGUCGAACUCCUCCUCGCGCUCCUCCUCGGGUACUCCGCGAUCUACGACACACGCAAACGAGCACACAAUAAAUAAAAAGGAAAAAGAUUUUACCCGGUGAGCUCCGAACAGGAAAUAUGAACGGAAAAUAGGUAGGAAGGGUAUUUUCAUGAAAUUUUGAUAUGCCUCGGCGGAAAUAUAUGAGAGGAGGCCGUGGUCGAAUUUGGGAUUGAUUGGAGGAAAUUUGGCGCAUGAAAUGACGGGUUAAAGGAGUAUUAGGGGCUUUAAAAUGAGGUUUAGGACUGAAACGCGAGAGCAGGGGCCUAUCUGUAAUUAUUUUUGGAAUGGAGGGAGGACUAGUUCGUGAAUCAGGGAAACUGGUGGGUUGGAUCGCGAGGAGAGGGAUUUACCCCUUCUUCUUCCUGGAGACAACAGGAGGUAGAGGAAGGGAUGGCCGUCGGCGUUCUGGUGGUGGAAGUGGAGGAAGGCUCGGUGCUCGUGGUGAGGGUGUGGAGGUGCAAGGCUCGGCUCCCCCCUUUUAUAGGCGGCGCACGGGCGGGCGAGGGCCGAGGCAAUGAUGGCGGCCGGACCUUUGGCCGGUGGCGUGCCGGGGUGGUGAAGCUCGUGGACGGCGUGGUGGCGUGGUCGACGAGGCCACAGGAGCGGCGACCGGCGACCGGCGACACGACGCGACGCACCGAGCCAAGCGCUAGACGCCAAGACGCGAGCAGGCGUGGCACGGGCGACGUGAAGCGGCGCGCGGCCCAGCGCGCGUGCGCGCCUCGGCGCGCGUGCCGGCGUGGGUGGGGUGUCAGGCGCAGGUGGGGGGUGCCAGGGGAAGUAAAGGAGAGAGAGAAGAAAGAGGAAGGGAGAGGAGGAAGAAAGAGAAGGAAAAAGGAGAAGGGAAAGAAAGAGGAGGAAAGAGAAAGAAGGGAAAGGGAGGAAAGGGAGGAAAGGGAGAGGAAAAAGAUGGUGAAAAUUGCGGGAUUCGACUGGCGCGGUGAUGGACUUGACGGGCACGCGGCGAAAAUUACGGGGAGCGGAAAAAGAGAGUUGACGAGCCGGGGCCAGGACGGCGGGUCCGACAGAAGGGAAGGGAUUUGACGGAGCUCGGCGGUCGGAAAAAUUUUGGAAAGUAUUUUUAACGAGUGAUUUAACUGGGUGUAUUUUACGGGCGUUACAAAUGACCUCUUAGCACACAGAAUAAUUCCAUCACAUCCUUUUAACCAGUCCAUUCCAAGAAUUACAUCAACACCAUUGGACUUUAGAACCACUAGGUUAGCUAGGAAAUCUAUUCCCAUGAUUUACAGAUUAACUCGUGGGCAUAUUUGCCUAGUUUCCAUAUCACCUCCUGGUGAACUAACUAACAAGGUUUUCUUCAUAGAAUGCUUAGGUAUAUUAUGCUUUACCACGAAUUGAUCAGUUAUGAAGGAAUGAGUUGCUCCAGAGUCAAAUAAAACUGAUGCAGGUUCAGAAUUGACGAGGAACAUACCGAAAACAACAUCUGGAGCUUCCUGGGCUGUCUCAGCUGUCACGUGGUUCACCCUACCACGCAUGAAAUUUUGUUGGCCCUUGUUGCCCUGAGAGUUUUGAUUUCCAUUGCGUGCUUGCGACUGCUGCUGUGACUUCUGACCAUUAGUCUUCUGAGGGAUCUGCGUGUUGUUCUUGGGACAGGCGUUGGCGUAAUGUCCCACCUCACCACACUUGAAGCACCCAUUGGGCUGAACUGGAGUUACUUGAAUAGUGCGCGCUGGUGUUCCUGUGGCAUUGUUGGCCCGGUUGUGCUGAGAAUUUGAGUUGCGCUGGGCUUGUUGAUUGAAACAUUGCGGCGGUUGAGCUGUGCGUUGAAACUGCUGAUUCUGUUGAUAACUCCCACCCUGUCCUCCUGAGCGAAAUUGGGAUCCUUACAGUGAGUUGAAGCGGGGAUGGGUGUUGCUACUAGAUUGGCCUUGAGACUGAAAUUUUCCUCUUUUGUUCCCCGAGCUCUUUACGUUUACUUUCCAAACCAAUGGCUUUGUCCAACAAAGUUUGGAAGUUAGGAAAUGUGUGACUCUACAGCUGAUAAUUGAGUGGCCCUAUCAGACCAUCCAGGAAACGUUCCUGUCUCUUCUCAUCUGUGUCCACCUCGUUGGGAGCGUAACGAGACAGCUGUGUGAACUUGUCCCGAUACUCGCUAACUGUCAUAUUGCCUUGCUUUAAAGCUAGAAAUUCCUUCUGCUUGAGCUUCAUCACACUAGCUGGAAUGUGGUGUGUGCGAAAACUAUUUCUGAAUUCUUCCCAAGUAAUUGCAUUGGCAUUGGCGUGGGCAGUAGUGUAAGCAUCCCACCAGUCAGCUGCGGCUCUUUCCAAACGUCCCGCAGCGUACCAGACUUUCUCACGGUCAUUGCACUGAGUAAUAUCCAGCUUCUUGUUAAUGACCUUCAGCCAGUCAUCGGCGUCCAACGGAUCCACCGAGUGUGAGUAGGUAGGGGGGUGGUGACUCAUGAAUUCCCUGUGUUUGUCCCUUGGUGCCUGAGGUGCUUGGGGUGGUUGCUUAUUCUGUUGAGCUUGUAGGUUCUGAACAGCUGCAGUGAGGUUUUGGAGCAGUUGCAUCUGGGCAGCCAAAAAUGGUUUCAUUAUUGAAGGCGGUGGGGGUGGUGCUUGAUUCUGUUGGUUAACCACGUGAGCACGCCUCGUACUUGGAAUAUCUUGUCCUCCUCCUGACCUGGUGUUUACCAUCUGAGUGUUAGAGGAAUAAAUCUUGUAUAAGAAUGAUGAUUUGAUAAGGUAGAUAAAAAUGAACAACGAACCAAGAUUGAGACCCAAAGCUAUUAACUUUAUUUUAUUAAUUGAUGCAGUUGUGGCCAUCACUCCACAAAAACAUCCCAGACAUUACAAAGACCCAAAUCAAGCAUGUUUUCAACCAACAAACAUUAUUACAUCGCACGUCCUCAUAGGAACGGUUCUAUCGAAAGACACUGGUAGGCAUCCUAUAAGAAGGAAAAACCUAGUCUAGAAGACCGGUGACAGAACCAGACGUGCCAUAGCGAAGCCUCUUGCGGGGUGGUAAAACAGUGGGGUUGUAGGGCUCGACUGCCUCCUCAGGUGGCUCCUGUCCUGCAAGCUGUGCCUCAAGCUGUGCGAUCCUGGCGUGAGCGUCCUGCAGCUCCUCAUGUGUCUUGGCAAGCUCUGCUGUAGCUCCGUCGAGGUCGGUGUUGAGAGCAGCGGUGACUCGAGCAAGGACGUUGAUGCGGUCUUCUCCGGCUUCUCCCAACGGUACAGCUGUGUCCUCAGUACCACUGACUCGGCGAGGAAGGUGUCAAUAGACGGUGGUGCUCAACUCCUCGCGGUGAGCGAAGCAGAGGGCUGACAGAGCUCUCCUGGCAGCGUCGCUGACGGCUGCGGCGUAGGUGGCGUGAGGCGUAGUGGAGUCGUGCGCCAUGUAAGUCCUCAAGCCUCUGGAAGUCGCCAAACGCUCCUUGAUGUGGACCUGAGUGGAGUAGUAGUCAUCCAUGGUGGCGUGGGUGAUACGCUGAGUGACGUAGAGGGGCUUCACAAAGUUUCCCAGAGUCUCUAGUACUUCCCGGAGCAGUGUGGGAAAGUAUCCAGGCUCAUCAUCUGAAGUCUGGUAGUCACAAACUGGUGUCACAUCCUGCUGUCCACCAUCUUCAUCUCCACCAUUGUUGUCACCCUGGCUGUUGGUAUUGUCGUUGUCGCUGCCAUCAUCAUUGUAAUCUUCAUCGUCUUCAUCAUCAUCUCCCUCACCAUCGCUAUCAUCCCCCGAAUCGUCCGGGUCUCCACCAUCCGCAGCAGGUGCUUGAGCGAGAUCAGCUGGUGCUGAAGCGUCUGAUGCAGAAAUAGCUGGUGCAGGAGCAUCCGAAGCUGGGGCAGCUGGUGAUGCUGUCGGGAUCACCAGAUUCCCAUCCGAGUCGACCUCCAUGACACUGCCAUCCUCCAUCUCGACGUAGAAGUAAACCUCCUCUGGAUCCUCUUCAACCUCCUCCACAGGUUGAACCGGAGUAGCUGGCUAAGUAGGGGCAAUGCGAGCCUGGUAUCCUGCAGUGCUUUUGCAAGCAGUCAACCUGGUCCUGGCCAUCUGACAAAAGAAAGAACAGAUACUCAGAAUAAAACAAAAAUGAACAAAUUUUAACAAAGAAUGAAAAUAAAAUAGAUUUUUAUGAGGAAUUAAGACAUUUUGAGAGCAUACAUGGCUUGCUAGACAAUGAGUCCUUAUUCACGUCCAUUUCUACCUAGGCUUGCGUCCUACAGUCAACACAGCUCUGGUACCACUUCUAUCACACCCAGUUUUUGGAUAAAACCGAAUGCAUUGCAUAUGUGUGCCAGGAUCCGUUCUCACACAUAUGUUUGUUUAUAUUUGUUUGAAGGAGAUUUGCUUAUAUUUUUCUCCACGUUAGUCCUAAUCCCGUGCUGUUCGUGUAUAAUUUAUAAGAUUCAUAUAUCUGCUUAAAAAUGAUCUCUUGCGAACAUUCCUACUCACCUGUGUUAUUAGCACGCCAUGGCCAUUACUUAGUACAACUCGGCUAGUGUCACACCCGGUUUCUGGAUAAAACCGAAUGCAUCACAUAUGUGUGCCAGGAUCCGUUCUCACACAUAUGUUGACGUCAUCAGUGAAUACAUCAAAGAUAGUGCUCAAAAACGUACAUAAACCAAUAGGAACUUUAUUACACUCAACGCGAUAGACACGAAGGUCUUUAAUCGUUCACCGAUAACUUAACACGCACACACACACAACGUAGCUUCUCCACAGGCUUGACUGGUGGACCGCCUGCCUAGAACUCCUCGAAGUCGUCGAAGAACUCCCCGUCAUCACAAGCUUCUGAACAGUGUUUGGGCAAGGGUGAGUACACUUAUGGUUGGUACUCAGCAGGUUGGGGAAACAUGCAAGGCUCACAAGGAAUGGCUCAAGGCUUUAAGCGGUUAGCGUUUUAAUUGGUCAAAUUUUUAUUAGCAACACCUAAUUACUAGAUGUAAGUUUAUACCAACCCAAUUAAGCAUAUAACAUUAACAUAACCCAAAGGUAAAGGUAACACAGAUUAAUCUCAUCUUUAAGUUCAAUUAUCAUGUGAGGGUCCAAGCCGCUCUUAACCGUGAGCACGGCUGAUAUAUCAGUUUUCACUCUGCAGAGGUCGUACACUUUACCCACAACUCGUGGUCCCCCGUGUCACCCGGGUUUGCAAAGCCCUUAAACACUUCCUUUGGUGAGUGGCUGGGGUCCACUACGAAGCCUUUACAAAGACACGCAGAUAACUGGUAGCCCGCUAGAGUUUCAGUAGCGAUGCGGACCACAACCCGUUAAUGAGACAGCAGCUUAGCGAAGGCUACUGCUCCGGAUCGUGCACCCAACACCUUCCCCCUGCUUGCCCUUUCGGUAAAGCCACCAGCUAACUACAUGCCUAAUUAUUCGGCUAAGAUCAGAGCCAUAUGAUGUUGUGGUUGUACUGUUUUCUUGGGUGGUUCUCCAUGUUCCGAUUAAAUCAAGUGUUCUUGUAAUUAAACAUGUAUAGCAACAUAAAUAAAGCAUGAUUAACAUAUUUCAUGAUUAGCACAUUACCAACCCAAUUUAAGCGACUAGCAAGUCUACCCAACAUGAUUAAACAGGUUUUCAAGGAAUAAGGAUUAAAACUAGGUAAGUCCUUAAUAGGCAUUCCCGUCAAACUUAUGCACAUACAAGAAAUAAGUAAAGUGCUUAAUCAUGAUAUUAUUGGGACAAAAAGAACAUGCAGAGGGAGAAGGCCACUUGCCUUCCUCGGCAAACUGGGAGUACUCUUCUUCGAACGGUGGCUGCUCUUGGACUUGCUCCUCCGCGAACGUCACGUCGUCUACACGAUCACACAAGGCAAACAAAUAAAGAAUGAUUAAAACAGUACAACAAACAUAUGCAAAGGCUUACAACAAACUCCUAAAUCUAACGUUCAUGCAGAGACGAUCGCGUGAGCGCGAGGAUCGCUGAAAUCGGAUUUAAAACGAAGAAGAUAUGAGAUAAACAAGUUUCAGGGGCUAAAAUAGAAUUAACUAUAUACUUCAGGGGCUAGCAUGUUUUAGAAAGAUAUACUGAACAUGCAAAAACAGAGAAACAUAGGGUUAGAUCUACAAAAUGACAUGGCUCGGGUUAAAAUAAAAGAAUACAGGAACUUCAGGGACUUCUCUGGAAAAUUUACAAGACACAAGAAUUAAGUAAAAGGAAUAACAGAGAGUUCAGGGACUAGAUUGCAAAAACUCCAUCUUCUUCCUCCAACAGGCAACCAAGCACACAGAGGCAUGGCCGACGGGGAGGGGGUCUCGCCGGCGUGGGCGGAGGCCUCGCCGGCGGCGAGCUCGCCGGCGCGCGGGCGGCGGCGCCUCGGUGGGGGAGAGGAGGGAGAGAGGGAGGGAAAGGAAGGAGAGAGCUCUCACUGGAGAAGAACAGAAACUUCACCGGCGACAGUACGGGCGGCGGCGCGGCGGUGCGAGAGAGUGGCGGGUGAGUAGCAAAACGGAAAGAGAAACUCCGGGCGAGGUCGAUGGUGACCUUUAUAGGCCCCGGGGAGGAGCGGAAGGGGCUCCCGGGAGAGAUCGAAGGUCGGCCGGCCAUUAGUGGCUUUCAAGCUUGUGCGGCCGUUUCUGGGGAGAGGAAAGGAUGGGGCGACGGUUUGAGGCCGGGAGUGGGGGAGGGGAGACAUCGUGAGGUCGUGGAGGGGCUCGGGAGGCCGGGGGACGCCGGGAGGUGAGGGGCCCCCGGCCGGCGGCACACAGGGCGACGCACGGCACCCGUGCGUGUGUUUCUGGUGCUCCACGCGCCUGGAGGUAGGAGAUGAAGGGGUAGUAGGCCGGUUGGGCCAGCUUGGGCCGGUUGGUGGGGAGGAAAGGAGAGGGGAGGUGGCGGCCAAGAGGAAAAGGAAGGGGGAGAUGGGCCUGCGCAGGGAGAAAAGGAGAGGGAAAAAAAAAGAUGGGCCGACGGGGUAGAUUAGGCCCAUGCGGUUGGGAGGAGGAAGGAAAAAAAAUGCCUUGCGGGCUGAAAGAGAGAGAGGAGGAAUUUCGGCCCAAGGAGAGGAAAGAGAGGUGGAGGGUUUGAAAAUUUAAAUAGAGUUGAAGUUUUCAAAAUCCAAUUCACAUUCUUUUGAAAUUCAAAAGCAAGCAUUCAAACAAAAACCAAAGUAAAAGAGAAAAGAAAAACUCUACCAAGCACUUAUUGCUUCUAAAAUUAUUUCAAAUGCUCUUUAAUUAUUUGAAUAUCGUAAUUUAAUUAAAGUAAUUUAUUUAAUCCUUAGGGUACGAAAAACUAGACCGAGUUGCUUACAUUGCAUUGUGAUGGAAUUUUGGGUGUUACAGCUAGGCACCUGCAUGCCUCACCAUUUUCAUCUCAUUUUCUGCUGUUCAUGCCAAGGUGUAAUUCUGGGAAUACACCUGAUGUUGUUGACAUGACUUGGGCCCUGUUUAUAAAGGAACAUCUGGUGUUUCGUUCAUACAUGAGAUAGUUCAUAAGAACUUGGAUCCUCUGUUCCUGAGAUUCAUGCCGUGUUAAUUGGUACGAACUGCAACUGCAUGGUUAUGUGAACUUGUGGUACUUUGUGGCCCUCCAACCUUGUGGCGGACAAAUUGGUUACCACAAAUAAGCUAGGAAAGAUUUCACAACAACUUCCUGGGGUGUUUAUCAAAUUUUACACCACAAAUUAAAUACCAAAUUUGACACAAUUUAUUUGAUGAGUUCUCACAAAUAUUGUAUUGGAUAGUUCUGCAAUGAACCAUCAACCAUGGAGUCAAUGUCUCUCUAUUUGUAUAAGUUGUUGGGGAAAUAUCAAACGGGAAUAUCUCUUCAACAAAUUUCCAGGAGAUGGAAUUUUAUAGCUCCUAACUACAAAUAAGUGACGUUUUGGACAUGAAUAUGGUCUUAAAAAUACAAUUUUGACUAGCACUUCUUGUUGUAAUAUAUUUUUAAAUAAUAGAUUCUUAUGAAACUACUUAUUGAGACAAUAUGCUCGCAUUAUUUUCAAUGUCCUAACAUAAGAAGUGUUUUUUUUGUAAGCAAAUUAUAGAACCCUUGAUUACAAACAAUCUGAAGCUCACUUAUUUGUGACCCGACAAAUUAACAACUGGAUCGUAAGCAGAAAACUCACAUGAAGUCCUAAAAUUCCAUCAGAAAGUCAUUUAUAAAAUUGCAUACUUCAGUAUUAAAUUUUAAAGAAAGUACUCCCUCCAUCCCAAAUUAUAAGUCGCUUUGAUUUUUUUGGUACAUCCACUUUGCUAUGCAUCUAGACAUACUGUUAUAUCUAUAUACAUAGCAAAGUGAAUGUAUCAAAAAAGUCAAAGCGACUUAUAAUUUGGGAUGGAGGGAGUACUAUUCAAUCUUGCAAGAUUAAAAAUAAAAAAUUAAGGAUAAGUAGUCUUUUUUCCAAAAAAUGCAAAUGCAAAAUUAGUUGUAGUCAAAUAGCUUGUGAUUAAGACUUCAUAAUGAAUAAAAUAAAGUGCUGAAAAUUUUGGAUAUAGAUCGAUUUGCCUUCUUGAACUCAUAUAGUACGUUGUACCAUUUCUCGCGGAUUUGAUCAUUCAUAUUUCAUUCCCAUAAGGGGCUGUACACAUGCUCAACGUGUGGGCUCUCACUGUAGCCGUAAUGGCACGGCUCUCUGAACUCGUACCCCACCAUGACG